rnacentral:lncRNA from 1 species
AGGGGGCAAAAAAAGGAUGUAAUUACACUUAGAAUGUGCAAAAAAUAGAGAGCAUCAUUCAUAGAUAAUAAGAUUGAUAGUCACGCUAGGACCUAGUUCACAUGUGUCAAAUAGACAACAGCAAAUGGAAGUAAAACAAUUUUUCUUUACAGAAGUUCAAACACUGCAGUCAUAUAAUGCCAAAAAAAAAAUUCAUACCAUUUAUGGCAAAACCUCAAAAUUAAGCAUGAACGGAUAUUUUUAUGAACUUGUUCAGGAUUAGGUUAAAUUAGUAAGAACUCUCUCUUUUUGGGUCUGCCAUCAAUGUGUUUCUGCAAUUCUCUUCCUUUUCAUGAUUUCUUUAUCCAUAAAAGAAUGUAGGCAUAAAGGGAAACUGGCAGGAUUGCAAAGCUACUGCUUAUAGUAUGUACUCGGAGCAGACAACUCAACCUUGUCCCUAGCAGCAUAAAGAUUAAAGACAUUAGGCAUAUAUUAAACUCAUAACCUCCUCGGUCGCAAUAAACCAAUCUUCAGAUUGUAAGAAGGUUCACCAUUUGUGCACUAAGAGGAAUAUACCCCUUCCAUAAUCUUACCGGUGUCAAAAUGGGUGACUCGGGCAGGUUUGGGCGGGCCAUAAUUGGGUAAUGGGUAUAAUUGGGUCAACCCAUUUACAUCCAUUUAAAUAAAUGGGCAUAAAUGGACAUUUAAUAAAUGGGUAAGAGUAUACUCAAUUAACAUUUAUGACUCACUUAAAAUUCUACUUAUUCUUUCAAUUUUUUUGCAUGUUGUUUGACAACAAAUAACAGCAUUUUUUUGUUAUUAGAUUUGUAGGAAAUUCAAGUUUAUCUGCCUAGCCAGCACUAAAUAUUGAGUUUAAAUAUAUAAUUAUUUUUAAAUGGGUAUAAUGGGUGAACCUAGUCAACCCACUACCCACCAAUUAAAUGGGUUUAAUUGGUACCCAUUUAGACCCAUUCAAAGUUAAUGGGCGGGUUUGAGUGGGUUAACAUAAUUUGGUUGCAAAUGACACCUCUACAUAAUCUAAAGAAAGUAAAGUAUGUCUGCUUACUGGAAAAGAAUAUUAAAGCCAAAUGAAUUCAACCCUAUUCAAACAGGCCACUCAUGAGAUCAAGAUAUGAUACUUCAGACCGCAUCUGUACUCACCAGCUUUAUAAGCCGCAAGCGGUACUCUCCCGGCAUUGUUAGCUGCAUCACACGCAAACGCAGAACAUAUCAAUACAAUCUAUUGAGAAAGCAUGCUAACAAGCUACAACCACAACAAUAUCUUGAAAUCAAGAAAAGCAGUAACUGCAGUAUGUAACACAGAAAUUCCAAUAUAUUACUGUGCAGUCUGCAGCAUUAAUACCUAAUGGUGUACAUUCAAAGAACCAACAAAGGUGCUUGAAGUCUUCCAAAAUAAGACAGAUUUAUCAAUUUUCUAGUAGUCUCUAAAGAUUUAGCUUAGGCUGUAUUAGUGUCAUAGAACCAGAAACUUGUGGUUCAACGUUCUAGGGUUUGGAUUGCAUUCCUGUAAUUUCAGUUAUCAAAUAUUUUACAUUUUCUAUGAUCAUCUCUAUUUCAGGUAUUCGGGGAAUCCUUCUUUAUAGACGAAAUAUUCCUAUUAUGUCAAUGCCAACUGAAUCAAUGUUAUUAGCUGUGAAUUCACACUUUUUGGUAUUUGAAACAAACAAAUGUCAGGUUAGCAUUAGCCAUGCUAAAAUCAGAACCAAAUGCACCUCAAGCAAUGUUUAAAAAAUGCAAGGACUAUUAAAAAAUUGCAAGCAAGCUUUUGUCAUUACAGUUUCAAGCAGCACAUCAAUGGUUUCUCUUUCAGAAUCAGCUUUUUCUGCUCAAGUCAAGAUAGAAGCAAGAGUCAAAAGCAAGGCGAACACAUCGAAAUGGCUUCUAGAAUAAGAAAAAAGCUAUCAAUCGGUCAUUUUAGACAACACAGUAAAAGAGAGAGAGAGAAAUGACAUUGAGCGUGCAAAGAAAGAAAAUUGUUAUCCUCCAAAAAGUGCUUGUAGAUCACUUAACUAUUUCCAUAAGUUUGAAAUGAAAAUCUGUAGCACAACAAGGACAUUAGUUACAGUAUCACUGGCACAAAUUCAAAUUCGGAACACUUAAUUAAGUACCAAGACAAAUGACUAACAUUCCAACAAUUACAGCCUGGAUAAGACAUCCUAAAAUCCCCACAAUUGAACUGACCCAGAUGCCUUGCCUUCUACUAGUUUCAUCCAAUAUAACUCAAAAAGAUCGAAGAAACUGUUAAUUCGCAAAAUAUGUCCCUUUCAAUGAGGAGAAAAUGCCAGUCCUCCAAACAUUUUGGCUUCAUUUAUAACAACUUAACCAACAUGCCACCACCCCUCAUAUUCAAUCUAAAACGAGUAGAGGCACCAAACUUCUGUUUAUCGCAACACUCAAAAACACAAUCACACGGACAAAGAUACACACAUCGAUGAUCAGUACCAAACUUAGUAGUAAUACAAAGGAAAAUCGCUUAGUCUAAACUUAAGUUCCCCAACUACACGCUACUGAAAAAAGCAAGCAUGACUUGAAAUACAUUAAGAAAGAAGUUAAUAUAGGGAAAAUCAAAUAGGACUCAAAUAUUUGCACAAAUAGCAAACAGUAUGUCGAGAAAUGCUUAAAACUCACAUCUUGAGCCAGUUGGGUGACAACAUCCGCGAAAUUUGACCCCAUUUCUUCCUCCGAAACACAGUCAGUGAACUCCACCGCUUCCAACGCCGCUUUACACUUCUGAAAUGGCAACUCCCCUCGAACCUAGAAAUUUCCCAAAACCAAAAAGUUCGUAAAAAUAAAUACAAAAGCUCAAUAAUUAAUUCUAUCAAAUCUUUAAGUACCAGGGUCCAACAGAGCUCGUAGAGGAAGCGGAGAACAGGGACAGAAUUGGGAAAUUUGAAACUGGAAUUCCCAUUCUUCAAUUCUUUAACGGAUUCUUCUGUUAUGUAAAAGCAAUCCACAGGCGGGAGAGACAUUUUCCUUCUCCAAGAAUGGAAAACUCAGCUCUAAAACGACUGGAAGUUGGGCAUUGAAGAUGAAAUUACGGAGAACAAGCAGCAACUAUGUGUGAGUCUGUGUGAAUUCUAGGGCUUCGAGGUAUUCAGGGGUUUUCAAGAUGAUGAAGAAGGGUUUAAUUUUUCUUUUAAAGUGUUUUUUCUUGUUUUGGCUUUUAAUUACCAGAGGCUUUUAUCCUUUGGGAAUUUUUCAAAGACACCAACGAAAAUGACGAAAUAAGUCGGGGUUAAAUUUUUCUAGAUGCAAUAGGACGAAUAACGCAUUUACAUUUUAAUAUAAAUUUUAUGCAGAAACGAGUACUCAGAACUUUUUUUAUUUGGGUUAAUUAAUCUACCAUUGUCCAUAUCACAAACAAAUCUUGGGCCCUAGUUUAGAAUAUUUAAGAGGUAAAAUUGGAAGCUUAAUAAGAAAGGAAUUCCCUUUUAUAACAGAAAAAAAAAAAGAAAGAAAAUGUAGGAUGUAGAAAGUGGAUAGCGAUGACGGAUAUUUGUAACGAUCGGUGUUAAUCUAGUGGUCAAUAAUCCAGUGACCGAGGAAGGUUUAUUAAAAUUUUUUCUAAUAUUAGAUUGAGAGUUUAAAUUCUAUACCUAAUAAUUGAGGAUGCAGAAGGUGUUAGAAGGAUGGGAGACGAGGUUAAAAAAAAAUGCAUCAAGACCUUUAAAUCUGUAAGUGAACAACCUUAGCUACUUGUUUUUCUACUACAUUAUGGGGAUUGAUAACCUUUUUGGUUGGAAACUUUUGAAUUACAUGGCUUAAAGUAUCACGCUCUCUUGUUGGAAUUUUAAUGGUCCGAGGCAAUUUUUUUCAAGUAUGUGGGGCAAAUUAUUAGUUCCUUUCUAAAAAGUUUGAUUAAAGAAAACGUUUAAAGAUUGGGAAUGGUGACUGACGCAUGCCUACCCAAAAUAGUAAUUGACGCAGUUGUACUUCAUGGCUUUGGUGUUUGCUAGGGAAAGAACAAAGAAAGACAACAUGAAUUUAUUUUUUCAUUUUUAAACCAAUGUAAAUAAACAAACAUGUGUUUUUGUUAUGUUCUUUUAUAGAAAUAGAACACUUGUUUUAUUUUGUAUCUGUAAAAGAACAAAAACAAAAACCCCAUCAUUGCUAAAUCUUACAAUUAUUUGUAUAAACUUGUAUAAAUUUAGUAUAAAUUUGUAUUUGUUAACUCAUAUAGUGGCGAUUACACUAAAAAAAUAUGAAGUUACAGUAGAUGUAAUAAUUACAUGAAUUGGUUCUAACCGGACAAAAUUGAACAUAUGACGCUCUUAAUUCGUUAUUUUGGCACCUAAUCACUCAACUCUCGGAAAUGGUAGUGGGUUUACUUAUGUGGCCUUGAAGUCGAUGGAAAACAGCUACGCAGUCCAUACCUGACUACUUGCGAAUCAGCAGAGCCAAGAAAGAAGUUGAAACUUUGAAAUGACAAUAAAAUAUUUAGGCCUUGUUUGGACAGUAAUUUUUCAAAAAUUACUACGUUUUCUGUGAACAUAUUUUCAAAUCACAUUUUUAUCUCACAUAUAUCAAAUCGUUACAGUAAUUUUUCUACAAAAAAUUUAGAAAAAAUGCAAUCCAAAAUUUAGAUUCUAUGAACAACCAGCAUAUGCAUUCUUCUUGGUUUGUUUUUUACCCACAACCUAUGCAUAGGCUCCAUGGGCCUUUGUGUUCGAAUAUUUUCAAGUUUUUAAUUUAACGUGUACACAUGUAACUACCCAAAAUAUCUUUAUAUGCUCUAGCACUUUGAGUUUGAUGAUGUCUUGUACCUGUUCUUUUAUGAGCAUAUAAUAUAUGAUUUAAUUUUUUAUGCACUGAUAGUAUAAAUACUAUAAUAAUUGAAUGCAUAAUAACUAAUCUAAAAUUGAGUUUGAAAUUCAAAUUUUAUGUAUAUAUUAUAUAUUCAACUAUGAUAGUGUAUACACUAGUAAGGUACAUAAAAUUAACUCAUAAAGUAUUGACUUGUGAUUGUUAGUAGGCAUGCACAAAAGGCGUUUAGUCAUGCAAAUGUUCAAGAAAUGAAUGUACAUGAGUUGUUGUCUUUGCUAAUUAUUUACUUGAAGUUUUUUAUUAGCUUUAGGUUAUAUACAUGUUUGAACUUAGAAUACAUUUGUCAUGCAUUAGUCAAUGUAAUAUGACCCUCUUUCUUUUAAUUGCAUUUUGUUAAUUCCAAAUGAAUAAGUUGAUCAAUUUUUUGAGUUUUUUAUUCGGUAUGUGUGAUAAAGUGCUCUAAUAUUUGCAAGUAUACCUAAUAGUCAUUCUAUUCUUUUUGUUGUAGAUUGGCAAGGGAUCAAUCAGUAACACCUGGAAUCAAAGUGCAGUGAAUUUGUUCAUAAGGAGUAGCACACCCUUUUGCUUUUUAUAUGCUUUUUUAUAGAGAUUUUUUAUGUACUAGAUUAGAUUAUUUGACCAUAGUAUUGAGGAUAUGGAUUUGACCUACUUGUUUUAUUGACAAACGCUCAAGGUUAUUUAUAAAAUGCACUUGAUGCUAGGAAAAUAAGUAACAUGUUAUUAGCUAAAAGAAAAUUGCUGUAAAAAGUUUCCUUGCAAGUAUCCUGUAGUAUUUGCAAGGCAUAAUUCCUCACCAAUGGAGUGUUGCUAGCAAGCAGUGGUCAUCCCAAGCCUUCUUAGGUUUGGUGGUGCGGGAGGUCAAGGGUUCGAACCUUGUCUCCCACAAAAUUUAUCAUAAUAUGUAACGGUCUUCAUUGACCAGUUUCGAUGGAGUUUCUACUCACAUUAAGUGUCCUUCCCCUCCCCCCUAUAAUAGGUUAGUUUAGGUUAUAGGAAUUCUAUCGUAUCGACAAAAAAAAAGAGUGUUGCUAGCGAGAUAGGAUACUUUUGUCAAUGAAAUUACUAGCGAGAAAAACAUUUUUAUUCGUACUAAAACAACAUAUAUUUGCAAGGAUGGACUAUCAAUCGCAACAAGACUCUUCAAACUUUAGCAAGAAAAUUUUACUUGCUAAAAUGUCCACAAAAAUUGAAGACAACUACCAUUUAUUGCAAAAGUUAGAUCUUUUUAGCAAGAAUAUGUACCAAAUCCUCGUCACAUACAAUUUGCAGCGAUCCUCUAGCUGCAAUGGGGUGAGAGGCCUUAUUUUCUUGCUAAAAACUUUUGGCAAGGAUGUUUGAUCCGUUCAUGAUGAAAUUCUUUCCUAACAAUAUUUCAUCUUCAUUCUUGUAGUACCCAUCGAUACAAUAUUUUUGUGUAUUUUUGCUCUUGACAAAUUUUUCUAAUUCAACGAUCCUACACUAAUAACUAUUAAUCCUAUCUAGUUUUUGAUAAGGCACCAAGCGUGUCAUCUCUUAGUUUUGGACUAAGAUUUGCCUAUUCACAAUUUUGAUUCCAAAACCAUUUAUAUAAUUAUACUUAUCAAGUCCAAUGUUUUGUUUCCCAAUCAACUUAGGAUCCCAAUUGACUCAUAUGAAAUCAUAAAUACAUAUUUUUUCAUCUCAAUUCCCAACGAUCUUUCAACUUGAGGAAUUUCAUUAGGAUCUUAUUGAUUUUAUCAAUGGCAAAGAUUGCAGCUAGCCAAGAAAGAAGAAGAUGAAGGCAUAUCGAAGUUGCCAGAAAAAAUUACACAAUGUAUACUCUCGAAUUUUCUCACACCUAAAGAUAGACAUUAUUGUCCAAGGCAUGGCUAAAUGCAUGAUAGACAUGCCCAGUGUUGCAUUUCAAUUAAAAAAAAUGCAAGCAUAUGUUCUUGAAUUGUGUGAACAAGAUUUUGCUAAAUUACAUUGAGAAAAACAAUGCCAUAAACACAUUCAAGCUUCGAAUGGAUCUUGAGAAUCAAUCCUCUAAUCAUUGAUUUAUGGACAAAUACAUAAAAAGUUGCUGCAGCUAAUGGCUUAAAAAUGCUUGAUCUCUUUAUGUUCGGCUCAUAUAUAUUCCCUCAUACAGUUCUUGAGACAAAAUUCCUUGAAAAUAUGUUCUUUGUGGAAGGUAUAAUGGGUGGCAAUCCUAGGUGACUAAUUCUCAAUAAUAUCAAGUUAUGCAAUGAGAUACUUAGGAAGAUAAUAGCAAGCUGCAGGCUAAUUGAAAAUCUAGAUAUUGUGUGGUGUGGGUUUUUAUGCAAUAUUCAUCUAAACAGCCUUCUAAAACUCAAACAAUUUUCUAUUAAGCCUGAUGAUCAGUCCUAGAGCAUUGAAAUUGAUGCACCAAAUUUGAAAUCCUUUACUUGUGAGGCUCAUAAAAUGCCAUAUAAGCUUCUAUUGGUCACUUUCUCAAAAUCUUAAGUGUUUAAGUUUCUCUUGUAUUGGCAUCAUGAAUAGUUUUUCGACAAUCUUAGGAUUAAGUUUCCAAACAUUGAGGAGUUGAAAAUCAGUAGUUGUGGUCUUUUUUUUUUGUGAAACACAUUAUUAUUGAAGAUUCCAACAGAUAGUAGUUGUGGUCUUUUAAAUAGUAUCAAGUUUUCAAUUCAAUCUCUUAGAAUCCUAGAGUUCAGUUUUAAUAAAGAACUGAAGGAGCUGCAAGUUGAUGCUCCAAAGACUGGUAGGUUGAAGAUGAGGGUUACCGAAUUCUCCAUCUGGUCUUUUCCAUUACCUCGAGCAACCGGGAAUCCAGCAUUAAUCCAGUUGAUUUCUAUCACGCCUACAUGAAUCUAAUUGGUUCCUCUGAUGACUACAAGAUUGACAAUUCAUAGUUCAGCAGAUUGAAAGACAUGUUGACAAGUUUGAUCCAUUCUAGAAGUUAUGUCAAAAUACGGUACCCUGAUUCAAUAACCAUCAAUUUGGAUGAGAUUAAAGAUGGAGAUGUAGGGCUGGGACCUGAAGCUGAAGUGUUAUACAUAGUGGAACCUCCGUCAAGCAGAAAAAAGCUGGUGUUGAUUUGGCUCUUGCACAUGUAUGCUUUUGGAGUUGUCAUCAUAAAGUUAUGUGGCAAAUCUGGUAUGAUGGAGCAAUUAAUCACUUUGCAGUGGUUUCCACCAUAUGCUAUUGGAAAGGAAAAUUAUUCUAUAGAUCCAAAAGAUGUCGUAAUUGAGAUCUUGAAGUAGACAGAAAGAGAUCAGUUGCAUGAUCCUGAGAUUAAAGAUUGGAAGUGUUUAUCAAAGGUAGAAUCUUAUAAUGAGAGUGCUGAAAAAGUAAUUGUCUUAAAGUUGGAAUGUUAUUGAGCAUCUGCAAAAUAAAUGAAACCUUGAUAAUUAUUAAGAAUGUUAGGCAAAAAAAAUAAACGAGGAACUUUUAUUAUAUAUGAUUUAUAAGCUAUUUUUGAAGGUAUUUUUUGUGUCUUUAGUUUGGAAUGGUCCAAGUCAUUGAUUUGAGAUCUAGGAUUGAUUUUUGCUUAACAAAGACAUGCAGUAAAUCUUAAGCUCUAUUCAGAUAUGUAGAGACACAAAUACGAUUCAUGAAGUGGUAUUUUAAGUUAUCUAAAUGCUGCAUCUAAUUUUCCUUUGCUAUGAAAUCUUGCUUAUAGAUUAUUCCUCCUGUCAAAUAAAUUAGAACUUAAAAGGCAAUUCGUUCUACUGUCUUAAACAUCAAUGACUAAACUGUGUUAGGUAUUGAGUCAUUAUUGAAAUUUUUUGUUGAUUUUGUGUCUCAGAUAAUACUGUCUUACUCUAAUUUGUCCAGAUUGACUUUGAAAAUCCUUGAUUUCCUACUGUUAUCUAGCAUACUGAUCAAAAAGCUCACAUAUAUCGCUUACAAGACAUUAAUCAAAUUAAAUUUCUAGUCCACAUUACUAUAAGAAAGUGUGAAAACAGAAAUCUUGUAUUCCAUUUUGCAAUUCCUACCAAUUCACUAGCAAUUGUUACAUUUCCUUCAUGAGUUAUUUUGGCUGGAUUUUUUUUGUUUUUCAUUCAUUUCUUGAUAAAUAGUCUGGCUCUUGAUUCUUUCUCAAAAUUUGGCAUAUGUGUGUUUCUUCUAUUUUCAUGUAUUGUGUUGUAUCUGAAUUUAUUCUUGUAUCUAGAUUAAUUCUUGUGUGACCAGAAUAAUUCUAAGGGAAUGGUUAGUAGUAUUAACUAGCGAAUGGGAGGAGUUAGCUAAGCCACGUCAGAGUUAGUUAGCCAGCUGGCAUGUUAGUUAGGCCAGCUGCAGUCUGUUACGUGUGACUGAAGUUGUUACGCAGGACUGGAAUGGAAAGAUGGCAGAGGGGAGGUUAGUUACAGAAAUAGAAAGGCGGUGCAAGUAGUGUAUAAAUAAGCAGCAAGGAAAAGGUGCAAGUAGCUUUAGAGAUUAUUCUGAAUCUAUAACCUUUCCAUUUCUUCAUUCCUCAUUCAAUAAUACAUCUGAUUCUCUCUCUCGAGUUCUCUUCUCCACAAACUGCAACUCUUGAUUGAGACGUUACAUUGAGAUCUCCACUGCUCUUCACAUCAGUGGUAUCAAAGCUGGGUUAGACCAGCUCAAUCAUUACUAUGGCGGAGGGUACUAGAUCUCAGAACAACAUGAGACUAAAGGAGAGCAUGAAGGCCAUGAUGAAGGAACAGAAGGAAUAGUUUGAGCAAGAGAUGGCGGCUCUCAGAAAUUUGGUAUUGGAACUACAUUCUCAGAGAGAGCAAUCUGCAAGGAGUUGUUCUACCGAUAAUAAAGCCUCACAGGGAAGGAAUUAUCAAGUUCCUACGCGUUUCUCUCGCUUGGAAUUCUCCAGAUUCCAUGGAGAAGGCUUCCAGGAAUGGUUGUUCAAAAUUGAACAGUUCUUUGAGGUGGACAAGACACCUAGUCAGAUAAAGGUGAAAAUGAUUGCGAUGAACUUGGAGGGAAAGGCUCUUCAAUGGCACCAGAUCUUUAUGAGAUCUCGCAUUACCAGAGAAUUGCCGGCUUGGGAAGAAUACAUCAAAGAAAUGGCGUCAAGGUUUGGAGGUGUUUUGUAUGAUGAUCCGAUGGGAGAAUUGAAAGCUUUAAAACAGGAAGGAUCAGUGCUUGAGUACCAGGAGUAGUUUGAGGAGCUAUUGAACAGAGUAGAUCUUCCCGAAAACUAUGCCACAAGCUGUUUCCUCAGUGGCCUGGAAACAGAGAUACAGUUGGCAGUAAGGAUGUUUAUGCCUAGAACGUUGCAGCAUGCCAAAACACUAGCUAAAUUGGAGAAUGCCAAGAUUUUAACUCAACAGAAGAAGGGAGUGACCAGAUCAGGCUUCCAUACUAGCAUGGAAGAGAGGUGGAGAGAAGAAAAUAAUUCUAAAAUGCUGUGGAAGAAGGAAGACAAUCUUGAACGAAAUUGGAGGAGAGAUGGUAAGGCACUACUACCUACCCCCAGCUAGGACAAAGGUGGAAAAACUACAAAAGGAUAUACCGGGAAACCAUUCAGGAGACUGUCAUCCACUAAAAUGGAUGAAAAAAGAGCAAAAGGCCUCUGUUUCUGGUGUGAUGAGAAGCUUGGAGUUGGCCAUAGGUGCAAAAACAGACAACUCUUUCGACUGGAAGUAUAUGCAGAGGAUGAGGAUGAGGAGUUGGAAGUAGCAGCUGAGGAGGAGAAGGAGGUCGCACAAGGUAACUUAGCUCACAUUUCCUAAAAUGCUAUGACCUUGACUGAUAUCCCUAAAUUCAGAACAAUGAGGGUGACUGGUCACGUGGAAAAAACACCAGUUAACAUCUUUAUAGAUUGUGGAAGUUCUCACAACUUUAUCCACCCAGAUUUAGUCAACAAAUUGGGGUUGAGAGUACAAGGAGUACCUCCUCUGGUGGUAGAAGUGGCAGAUGGCAACAAGAUUACAACCAAUACAUUGUGUGCUGGUUUUACUUGGAAAAUGCAUAAUCAAAUUUUCAAGGCUGAUGCUAUAGUGCUACCUGUAGGAGGCUGUGAAUUGGUAUUAGCUGUCCAAUGGCUCUCAACGUUGGGAGACAUUAAAUGGAACUUUGGAGAGUUGACGAUGGAGUUCCUAAAGGGAAAUAGCAGAGUAGUGUUAAGAGGCAGGGCCAGCAGGCCAUUCAAUUGGUAAAGAGAAGAAUCAUGCAGAAAAUAUUACAUAAGCCAGAGCAGAUUGGUUCUGCUUAGCUACGUUUCAUUAUGCCUGUGCAGGUAGCAGCAGGAGAGCACUUUGGCAGUCUUUGUCAGGUGGAGAGGAUAGUUCAGACAGCCAGUCCCACCCCUGGCUGUGAAGCAAUGGAAUUAAGUGAACUGUUAAAGGAGUUUGAGUAUGUUUUUAGUGAGCCUUCUGAACUGCCCUCACAUAGGGACCACGAUCACCACAUUGUGCUCAAAGAAGGUACGGUGCCUGUAAAUGUAAGACCUUACAGAUAUCCAGUUUUCCAGAAAAAUGAGAUUGAAAGGCUGAUUCAGGAGAUGUUACAAUCUGGAGUUAUCAGACACAGUACAAGUCCUUUUUCCUUUCCAGUUGUAGUAGUAAAGAAGAAAGAUGGAACAUGGAGGAUGUGCAUUGAUUAUAGGGAGCUAAAUUUGGCCACUGUAAAGGACAAAUUUCCCAUACCUAUGGUAGAGGAGCUGAUUGAUGAGUUGUUUGGAUCACAUUUCUUUACUAAACUGGAUCUUAGAUCUGGCUACCACCAGAUAAGAAUGUAUCCUAAUGACAUUGCCAAAAUUGCCUUCAGAACUAUCAAGGGCACUAUGAAUUUGUAGUAAUGCCAUUUGGACUAACCAACGCGCCUUCCACUUUCCAAAGUCUGAUGAACACUGUGUUUAGACCGUAUUUAAGGAAGUUUAUUCUGAUUUUCUUUGAUGACAUUCUUGUCUUCAGUUCGACCUGGUUUGAUCACAUCAAAUAUCUACAAAUCACCUUGGGGAUCUUGAGGUAGCACAGCCUGAAGGUGAAAGAGAGCAAUUGCUCUUUUGCUCAAAAACAAGUGGCUUACUUAGGGCAUGUGACCUCAGGAGAGGGAGUGCAGGCAGACCCUCAAAAGAUGCAAGCCAUUUAACAAUGGCCCAUACCUUCAAGUCUGAAGGAGCUGAGGAGAUUUCUGGGAUUAGCAGGAUGCUAUAGGAGGUUUAUAAGAGAUUUUGGGAAGUUGGUCAGACCCUUGAUAGAACUACUAAAAAAGAACAAUUUCAUAUGGACAGCCAAGGCCACAGAAGCAUUUUCCAAACUGAAGUUAGCCAUGAGUUCACCUUCUGUGUUAGCCUUGCCAGAUUUUUUCCAAACCUUUAUAGUAGAGACAGAUGCUUCAGGUGAUGGCAUAAGGGCUGUUUUGAGCCAGAAGGGAAGACCUUUGACUUAUUUCAGCCAGGGUCUGGCUACCAAAUACAAAAGCUUCUCUGUAUAUGAGAAGAAGAUGUUAGCCAUUGUAAGUGCAAUACAAAAAUGGCGGCCUUAUCUGUUAAGUAGACAUUUCAUCAUUAAAACUGAUUAUCAGAGUCUCAAAUAUAUGCUGGAACAGAACGUAUCUACACCUAUGCAGCAGAAAUAGUGGCUAAACUCAUGGGAUAUGAUUAUGAGCUUCAGUACAGGAAGGGAGUAGAUAAUGUGGUAGCAGACGCAUUGUCUAGGCAGCCUACCCCCAAUACAGCAAUACUAGCACCCAUCUAAGUUAUCAGAUCAGCAUUGAUUACUGAGAUCCAGAACAGCUGUGUUUAAGACCCUCAGUUACAGCUUCUUAUACAACACUUACAAGAUCCUACCAAUGGCUCUCAGCACUCACACUACACCUAUCAACACCAGCAAUUGAGGAGGAAAGGGAAACUAGUCAUAGGCAGUGAUGCUAAUUUGAGGCAAAAAAUCAUCAGACUGUGGCAUAAUACUCCCAUUGGGGAACACUCUGGGGUGCAGGUGACUUACAAGAAACUCAAGGAAGUGGUGUAUUAGAGGAACAUGCAGAAGGAUGUGAAACAAUUUGUGGCUGCAUGUGAUGUUUGUCAGAGGCAUAAAUCUGAAAAUGUAGCUUAUCCUGGAUUGCUGCAGCCAUUGCCUAUUCUAGACAAGGUAUGGUCUGCGAUAUCUAUGGACUUUAUGGAAAGUUUGCCUAAGUCUAAUGAUAAGGACAAUAUUUUGGUAGUAGUGGAUAGACUCAGUAAGUACGCUCAUUUCAUUCUUCUCAAACACCCCUACACUGCACUAUCGGUUACUCAGGCAUUCCUGGAUAAUAUCUAUCGACUCCAUGGUCUUCCUACCACCAUAGUCAGUGAUAGGGAUAAGAUCUUCAUUAGUCAUUUCUGGAAGGAGUUGUUUGGACUGUUAAAGGUGCAGUUGUGCCUAUCUACUGCCUACCACCCUCAGUCGGAUGUCCAAAUUGGGGUUGUUAACAGAUGUCUGAAAGGUUAUUUGAGGUGCAUGUGUAGUGAUCAUCCGAAGCAAUGGUGUUUCUGGUUACCUUUGGCAGAAUUUUGGUACAACACCAGCUUUCACUCAGCUAUCAGGAGCACUCCCUAUGAAGUUGUUUAUGGACAGACCCCUCCCUUGUACAUUUCUUAUGUUCCUGGUAGUUCUACUGUUGAUAGUGUGGACAGGAGUUUAACGGCCAGAGAAGCUGCUCUUCACCUAUCGAAGCAUAAUCUACAAAAGGCUCAAAAUCGAAUGAAGCAGCAGGCUGAUCAACACAGGUCUGAAAGAGUGUUUGAGCAAGGGGAUUGGGUGUAUGUUAAACUUCAACCAUACAGGCAGCACUCACUCAGGAGCACUUCAUGUCAAAAACUAUCCCCACGAUACUUUGGGCUUUUCCAGAUCAUCACCAAGGUUGGUUCUGUGGCCUAUACACGACAACUUCCUACAGAUGCUAGGAUCCAUCCUACUUUUCAUGUCUCUCUUUUAAAGAGACAUGUGGGCAAUCAACCAGUGCGACAACACAUUCCUACCUGUCUCAUUGAUCAGGGUCAACUGCUUAUGGAGCCAGUUGCUAUUCUGGAUAGGAGGUUGGUGAGAAGGGGAAGAAUAGCUACUACUCAAGUGUUGGUGCAGUGGAGCAAUAGCUUCCCAGAGGAUGCGACUUGGGAAUACUGGUACGAUCUUCAUCAACAAUAUUCUCACUUCAGUUCUUGAGGACAAGAACUGUUUGAGGAGGGGAGUAUUGUUGUAUCUGAAUUCAUUCUUGUAUCUGGAUUAAUUCUUGUGUGACCAAAAGAAUUCUAAAGGAAUGGUUAGUAGUAUUAACUAGCGAAUGGGAGGAGUUAGCUAAGACACGUCAGAGUUAGUUAGCCAGCUGGCAUGUUAGUUAGGCUAGCUGCAGUCUGUUAUGUGUGAUUGAAGUUGUUACGCAGAACUGGAAUGAAAAGGCGGCGGAGGAGAGGUUAGUUAUAGAAAUAGAAAGGCGGUGCAAGUAGUGUAUAAAUAAGCAGCAAGGAAAAGGUGCAAGUAGCUUUAGAGAUUAUUCUUAAUUUGUAACCUUUCCAUUUCUUCAUUCCUCAUUCAAUAAUACAUCUGAUUCUCUCUCUCGAGUUGUCUUCUCCACAAACUGCAACUCCUGAUUGAGACGUUACAUUAAGAUCUCUACUGCUCCUCGCAUCAUAUUGAAAUUUAUUAGCAUAAAAAAUCACACAAUGAAAUAUAGUAUUACCGCUAGUUGUCAUUGAUUUCCUAUCUGUAUGUCAGCUAACGAUUGAAGUCCUAAUUGUGCUAGGGUUUAGUUUCCUUAAGUCCAAUAGUUGAAGUCCAGAUAUGAAUUGUUUUCGGUUCUUAUGUCUAGUGAUUAUUAGUCUAUAUAAACUACUGGUAAUGCUGCAUUGUUUCUUGAAGAAUUGAGUGAGAUAGAAAAAAAACUCUAAAAUUGUUAUUGGUGAAUUUUAUUGUUCAGAGUUAAGUCAAUAAAAUCAUCAAGUAUUUGCUUAUGUUUAUUCUCUUCUUUUUCACACAUAUUCUUUUUAUGUGCUGAAAAUUACUUUUGCCAUGUGUUCUUUUUUUGUUUUUUUUGUUUCAACACAAUUCAAGGAUCUUCAAAAAUAUUUCACAAGUACCCAUGCAGAUGAUCUGAUUGCUUUUUCUAAUUUUAGAAGCAUUAUUUCCGAUGACCUGUUCAGUCACAUCCUUGAUUUUUUUUUUUCAGAAACCACGUGUGGUAUCCUGAAUCACCAGAUUAAUCCACACAUGUCCCACACCAACCUGCCCAAGCUAUGUGGAUUGUUUCACCAGGGAUUCAAUUUUUUGCAGUGGUACUCACCUAACUAGGCUACUACCACCAGACCAAAGCCCUGGGGGCGUUCAGUCACAUCCUUGAUAUUUAUUCAAAUAAUGAGAGUAUACUAUAUGCAAAGAGAUUAGUUUUGAAUUUGAAUAGGAAUUUGAGAAUUGAGACAGCUAGGAUAAAAAAAAAGUAUAAUAUCAAAUUGUUUCUUGUUUACUUGAUCUAAGUGAAUACUUUUAGUAGUUUUCAAAAGAAAAUAAAAGAAUAAUUUCAGUUUAUUAAAUAUUCUCUGGAUAAGGUUUGAAAUUGAGGUACAAAGCAAAAUGAGACAUGUACUUUAGCAAUUCUAUAACACAAUAAAGACGUCAAACAAGCUUCAUAAUAUUUUUUAGUUUUUUUUUUUUACCCUUCCACCUUUUCUCACAGUCUUCUUAUCCCCUACAAUCAACCCAAGUCGUAUGGUGUGGAGAAUAACCCCACUUCGUAACUUAUUUGUUCCAAUGAAAAUUUUAAGUUUCACAAGAACAUUAAAUAAUUACCACCCAACUUAAGCAAUUUUUUCAAAAUAUCACACUCAAGUACUUAUAAACAAUUGACUUUGCACUUAAUUGGAUAUUUGGCGAUUCAUUUAAAGAAAGGAUUUACUUUUAAUAUACUGAUAGAGUAAUAAUUUAUUUAUAUUAGUAGUUGUGAAUGUAUGCGACAUGUGCAAGAUUUGAAUUUUAAAUCUGAAUUUAUGCUCUGUAGUAUGAUCUAAACCUACUAGUGUACAAAAAAAUUAUACACUGGCAAUGCGUAAAAAACUUACUAAUUUAAAAAGUGGAUACAAAAUUAGAAAAAAUUAAUAGAAUUAGAUAAGGAUUAUAUGUAACUGAAAAAAUAAAGCAUGAAAAAUAAGAAAAAUUAGGAUAUUUUGCAUUUUGCACUUUUUAUCAUUAAUGAUCAACGUCCAGCCUUCUGUUGAAUGAUAUUUUGUUAAUUACUAACUCUUGAAUUACCAGUUAAUAAUUGAAUUAUUACAAUCAUGGUUUUCAUGAACCCAAGAUAUAUGAUAGUAGCUCAACAAACAAAAAACUAACUUUUCCUAAAUAAAACUUUCCAUACUUUCUCCUUGCCUUUUAAAUUCAACACUUCAAAAAAAAUUAAAAAAAAGAACUUCAGCUUACUCUUCGAUGGCUAUGCACACACUCCUGAUCACAAUGAGUUUCAAAAAUUGAAAUCUCCAACUCUUGAUAAUCAAAUGUGAAUAUUGAGAGGGGAUUCGUGUGACGCCCCCACUUCUCUCUAACGCGAAUCAGAGGGUAUCCGCGGGACGCCUGCCCAACUCUCGUCAGGACUCAAGCAAUUUUCAUUCAAGUUUAAUGCAAUACUAGACAUCACCAUUAAAAAAAAAAGAUAAGUUAAAUAAUGCAGAAGCUUUCGAUUUAACGAUUUAUAAUAAUUAUCCGAACCUUAGAUCGAAUAUUCAAAGGAUACUUCAAUGCCUAAAAUAUAUAACAUCCAGAUACAUCAAAAAUCCAAAUCAUACAUUAGGUUGCCAAAAGUACAACCAGACCAGUAAGAGGUCUAACCCAAAUUACAUUAAAAACUCUAAGCCAAAAGUACAUCAAAAGGGGUUUCUCCAAAUCCAUUCCAUGUCCAGUCCUGUUAAGGAAAACAAAUCUACAGGGUGAGCAAAACGCUCGUGAGGCCAAAAACAUACAUGCAAGCACAUAGUCCAAGUAACAAGCCCAAAUAAUAUGUCAAUUGAUAAAGUACAAGUAAUUGAUAAUUCCAAUAAGAUGUAAACAGAAACAAUUCAAGGAUAUGGUAGCUUUCAGGAGUUAAGUUCCACUUGCUUUGCCAAGGUCAUUCGUAUACCUUCUCACGAUGACACUCUGUCAAUCGAGUUGGUAUUUUCAAUCCGUAGAUCACCACUUACUUCCAUCCGUCCACCGUACAUACCCCCACCGGGCUCGAACAUCAUUUAUAAGGCGAUACUUCAACGAGUAUGCCAAGCAAAAUCUCUCUAAUAGAUCAAGUUUAUCAUGUAAUUCUUAUGACUCGCCAAGGUUUCCGACCAAACCCAUGCCGGCUCGAGUCCAAGGUUUGCCUAUGAAUUUGGGCGUCCCCCAAUUAACAUUUAUAAGUCGAAGAGAUUCACUCCAACGACGUAUGUAACCAUAGCAUACCAUUACAUUUCAUUCAUUCAUUUAAUACAUUUCAAUCAUUCAUUUCAUUCAAUGCAUUUCAAUCCUUAAAUAUCAUUUCUAAUGAGAACGAGUGCAGUAAAGUACACACUCGACUCCAUUUUCAAAAUCUCCAAUUAUUAAUAGCAGUUAAGCAUGUAACAAGUUUACAUACACUUGACACUCACCAAGUCAACCAAGGAAAAUAUUGCUUGAAAUUCAAGCGUCCACUGUAGGAUCCUCUUGAAAGCUCUCGUGCGAGCCUGAGCAAUUAAUAGUGAACAAUUACUUAUAAACCCCAAUUAUCGAGAAAGAUUGCACACUUGUACAAUCCUAAGAAAUUUCACUAAAAUGAGUCUAAAUUACUCGCGAAUUAAGACUCAAAAGUGGGGUUUUAAAGUACAAGAGAAAUCGAGUUUUCAUUUUUGAAAUCAAGUAUAAAACAUUCAAGUAAUAUCGAAGGAAUAAGGAGAAUUCGAAAAACUCCAUUUCCUUAAGAUUCGGAAAUUUCAGUUUUAAUAUGUGAUCUUUGAAAAAUCGUAUCUUACUAUUUACAAUUCCAAAAUCAGAAAACUUUGUACCGUUGAAAACCUCUUAGAAAGUACUAAAAGUUUUUAGAAGACAAUUUUCCAUGAUUCCAAACGGAAUGUAUUAAAAAAAUUAGCUCAAAAUUGCUGUUCUGGGGCAUUAAAGACAGAUUUAGGUUGGUUUUUUACCAACUUUGAAAAUUCAGAAAAAUUCACUCAAUUUGAACUAGCAUUUGAAAUUUGAUACUCUACUAGAGUUACAAUCUAAGUUUAGAACAAAAUAAGCAGAAUGAGAAUUGAAGUUUUGAGCACCAAGAUAUGGUAGUUCAAGGUUACCCAAAUUUCCUUGUGAAACAAGGGUUUUCCAAAAUCAAGUUAUGAACUUUGGAAGUUUAGUUGAGCAAUGAAACGGCCUCGGAAUAGUACCAAAAUUAGCAUUAUAAUACGACCAUAUAAGAAGUAUUUUUCUGCCAAAUUUCAUGGAUAAAUAAGCAAGGAAAGUCGGUUAACUAAAACACCCAAGUCUCUAAAAUUUCAAGGCAAAACUGCCUUGUGUACAAAAUGUCCAUUUUCCAAACUUUUGGCCACAUGAAAUCCUUGCAAACAUGGUAUAUUUUAGUAGACAAUGUUUAUUAAACAUCUAAGAUAUGUUUGAUGGUGAUUAACACGAAGAAUCUCGAAUUAACAAGUGUCAAUCGAGUUUAGUAACAAUUAUGCUCAAAGAAGAGUUUUCCUUCAAGAAGUCAGUUUCGAAAUAUGGCCACAAAUCGCUCAAUUCAACUCAGAAUUGAGCAUGGUUAGUGGCGUUGGAAAAUAAACUCAUAAGGCUACAUUUUCCCAGAAGAAACCGUUUUCAAAAUUUGUCCAUAACUAGCUCGUUCGUGAGCAUCAAGUUAUAUCUCAUGUGCUGCCUUCCAGGAAGCAACGAAACAAGACAGCAAAUUUCAAACGAAUGGUUUGGCUUGCUCAAGUGGAACUAGAACAAGAAUUUUAUACCAACGGAAAGCUGAGAAUGUCUAGUUUCUAGUGCCAUAAACAGCACUCGAUUCUGACAUCGGAGCGUUGAGUUAUAACCAGAACAAUAUGACUGCCUGGGCAGUGAUGGGAACCAAUUCCAGAUUUCUAAGCUUCCGAAAUUCCAACAUUUGGGUGACUAAACCAAGUUAUUUUUCAAUGAAAUUUUUACACACUUAAUAUAACAUAUAAACAACAUAAACAAGCCAUUAUAACCUCAAAAUUUCGCACCAAAGUGCUCUAACAAAGUAGGGGUAAAAUAGUCACUUUUGGUUAUUACACCACCUUGAGUUUCUAUCAACAACCCAACAUUAAUCCAUUAGUUUAGCCACUAAAUAAACAUUAUUACCAGCAAAACACCACAAAUCAGUCCAUAUAUCCAAGGUGGGAGUUCAUAAAGCCCACACAACUAUUUUUCCAAUAUAAAUAAGCUACCCACAUGCAUGCAAGAGUUUAGAUGUGCACUAGAACUUUCAUAAAUCAAGUUUCCAAGGUUUGAUCAUCACUUACUUAUUUUGAUGUUCCAAAACAGAAUUUUCGGUCCUUUCUUGGUCCAAGAAAUCAGUGGACUGCAGCUCCUUUUCCUAGCUAGAUGAACUCUCCAAGUGAUUAGCUACGUACGGUUGAAAUUUGAGGUGAAAUAAUGAAGGUUUAGUGAAGAAAUUGAGGCUGUUUUACUCUUCCUCUUGGUUGGCUGUUUAGAGCAGAAAAAGAAGAGCUAAUGCUGAAGGUAAGCUUCCGUGAGAAGCUUUAUAAGUUGUGGCCAAAAGUUAUUUCAAAGUCAACUAGGAAUAGUGCGCGCAUGCGCGCGUUUUGUGCUCAAUUCCUCUUAAGUUUGUUUCACUAGUGCACUAAACCUCUAAUACACUUCAAUUCAUAUUAUUAUUAUUAUCCACUCUUAUGGGUCUAAAAAUAAUGAUCUAAAGUCUCUCAAUUAAUCGCGCGCGUAAAAACGCGUAUUUUCAAUUUAAGCGCGAUAAAGUGAAAUCUUCAAAAAAAUUUUAUAAUGAUGGUGGUGCCACUAACUAUCACUUGAAUACUUAGGCAUAAAAACACCUAUUUUAAGACCAUUGUGCAAGCCUCUAAUUUUCUAAGGUUUUUGUAUUCUCGAAUCAAAUAUUGACUCCAAUCGCAUAUUCACUAUUUUCACUUAACGAGCUUCCAAAAAUUAAAUUUUGAAACAAGUCACUUUAAAAAUAUAACUAAACUAUAAAUCCAUAUAAUUAGGUCUAAAAAGGUUAGAAAAUAAUAUUCAGGGCAAUUGGCCAAAUAAAUAAUUAAAUGAGCUUGAAUUAGGAGUUUAAAAUAGAUGAAUUUUGUGAGUCUUCACAUGAGUCUUGUAUUACUUCCUCAAAUCUCCAAUAAAUUUGUAUCAGCGCGUCUUUCAGAAAAUUAUCGACGCGCAAGCGGUAUACACUUACUUAGAACUCAUUCACCUUUAAUUCCUCAAUUAACUUUUUUUUAUCUACUAUUGAUCAUUCUUAAUUCCCCAAGAUAAAUGCACUCUCGAAUAGAAUAUCACCUUGAAACACAUGUACUCAUUAUUCCUCACUUAAACAAAUCUCCGAAAAUUAAAUUUGCUAACGGGACGUUUUAAAAACAUAAGGAAGACAUUAUUCCAUAUGAAUGGAUUUAGAAUGGUUGAAAUAAAUUAUUUGGAGAAAACAGGUGAAUAAAUAUUUAAAUAAACCAAUAAUACUCGAUAAAAAUAAGAAAUUUUUUUUUCGGGUCCUCACAAUUCGUCUAUCAGCUAGACUAAAUUUGAGUCAAGAUCAUAUUUUAGAAAAACAUUCAAGACUUCAGAUACAAACGGGACAAAAUAACAAUGAAAAACUGCCAUUGCUAUGCUAACAUCUCUCUGUAUUGUUUACGUGUGUUUAGACCAACAUGGAUCUAGUUUCGACUUUAUAUUCUUGAAGAAAUUGGUUGGAAGACAUCUCAUGAUCCAUUUUGCUAUUAUUGUGGAUUCACUGGUAAUUUUUUUUAUUAGCUCAUUGUUCAUAAAUUCUUUCUAUUCAACUCUUCUAUUUUUUUAAUGCCUCCUUAGAUUAAUAGUUAAGUUAUUAAUGUAUUCUCCAACUUGGAUUUUCUUGAUAGUUAUGGGGAAUGCUCAAAUAGAAUCUUGGUGAUUUUACCCAUUUGCUUAAUUAAUGUUUUUGAUUAUGAUGCUUUUUUCAUUUGUUUGAUGAAAUUGGAUUUUGAUUAAUAUCCGAAUAUAUUUUAUGAGUGUUUUUCAUAUUGUAUCGAUGGAAUUUGACCCAUUAUUGCAGGUUGCAGUUAACUUACCAUUUUGUCUCUAAGACAAGAUAUCGUUUUAUACUUUUGGAACAUGAUCAAUGGAAUGAAGAUUUGGAAGACGAUUGCUUUGAUGAAAUCAUCUUUUAUAUAGUUUGUGAUCAAAGAUUUCUUUUAAGUGUAUAGAUUCGAUCAUAGUAAUAAAUCAUCUAGAGUAUGUUAGGGGGUUGAAUCUACAAGAACAAGUUAAUUUAAUCUACUUUAAUUAUUCUAAAAAUAAAAUUUAAAUUCACAAGAUUUAAUUGAUAAUUAAACAAUAUUAAAUAAUCAAGUCAAAUAGAAUAAAGUUGAGAAAACAAUUGGCAAGAGACCAAGAUUUCAUAUUCUGAUCUAAAUUUGAAUUAAUUAUCUAAUUAUUUUCUUAAUAUGCCAAGAACAUAUCGAACAAAAUUAUUUUAAAUUAUAUUUCGAUAUAUCUAAAUUGUGCCCAAUUAAAUCUCACGUUUCUCUUGACACUACAAGUAUUUGAACCCUUUAAGAUCUUCGGUGAUUUCAAUUAUGUAAUGGACACCCUAAAUUGCUCUUAUGUUUAAACUAAAUAUGUUAAUCUAUCUAGUAUUCAAUUGUAUAUCUCUUCUCAAUUUAAUACAAACCUUAAGAGAUUGUCUAUGGUGAUCAAGCAUAAACAUGUAAUUAAACACAAGGUAGAUAAAUCAAAUCAAGGAUCAUGAAUUUAACUAGGAUAAAUAAUCAAUACUUUUUCACAAAACCCUAACCCUAGAAUUAAAUUAAUUCAAUAUAGAUAUAGUAAAAUCAUUAAUAAAUCAAAGAAUUCAAGCAACAAAUACAACAUUGGAGAAUAAAAUAAGAAAAAGUUCUCAAUCUUUGAUGGUCUAGUAUCCGUGUUGAUUGCUUAUUGAUUCUUGCUUGCACGCCUCUUGAUCUUGAUCUCUCAAGAGCAAAUUAUAAAAGAUAAGCUAAAACUAGCCUAACGUUUUCUUCUCUAAAAACGUCAUAAAUAAUACUUAUUUAUAGCUUUCUAAACUUGUACCCCAAGUAUGGUAGGAUUUAGUUUUGAAAAGCUGCUAAAGGUCAAGUCCAAAUAGCUUUCCAUCAAUGUCCGACCCCUAUCAUUGCACUUAUGUUUGUUUGAUGAAUAGUAUAGGGUUGUCAAUGGACCUGGACCGCUAGUUUUUUCCAUGUACGGGUUGACAAAUAAUCUCAUUACCCGAACUCGUUUAUUUUAACAAAAAUGCAGGUUAAAUACGAAAUAUAGAAUUUUGAUCAAUAUUUGAUCUGAGCCCGUUUAAUACAUUAAUAAUUAUAAAAAUAAAUACAUCUUAAUACAAUAAUAAAUCUUUUACCAAAUUACCAAACUCUAAUCUUACAAUCCACCCGCACAUCUCUCUCUUGACUUCCAUGUAAGCCAAUUCAUACCACGGAGAACUGCUUGAGGUGUUGCCAAAUCGAUGCAUUGUCAUUCUUCAUGGCUCCAUAAGCCAAUUCAUAAACAAAUUAUGUCAAGCCUUAUCUAUUUUCGAGUAGAUCCGAACCUUAUUUGGGAUUCGUCGGACCUGAUUCAGGGAUUAAAAGCACAAGACUUUUCAGGUAAACGGGUUAGAUCUAAAAUUGGUACAUUAUAACGGGUCCGGGUUCGAAAUUUUUUAUUUUGGCCCAUACCCAACCUGUUGAUAGGCCUAGAAUAGUAGCAAAAAAUUUUUGAGAAUUUCAAGCGCGGACUUUAUUCAAAACCAAUUUCUACAAUUUCCGGACAACAUCCAACGUAGAGUCCCCCGCCUGUCUUCACCAGAUUCCUUUCCAUUUUUGUCGUUGCAUUUUUUAUCCAUUUUCUACUCGAUAAUAUAUUUUUCCUACAAAAACUAAUAAAUACUCAAAUUAGGCAGCUUCCAUUCACAUUAAACACAGAUAUCUCAAUUGACUAACAAUUCAUGCAAAUAAAACUACUCUAAUUAAUACCCUAUCAGUUUGAUCCACUGUAACGGUUUUGGCCAUCUUAUUCGUAUCAACGGAAGAAUUCUAGGCUAAAACUGCAAUCGAAUCGACCCGCUUACGAACUUAUCGCUAGCGGCUCUAGUGCGAGCUCGGUCAAGAUCGAGCUCAACUCGAGUUUUGACCAAGUUGAAUAGUAUAAAAUGAUUCCUUGGGAAAUAAAAUGGUUCUUUGAUCGACCUAUCCAAACAGGAAUAUUGAUUGGUUUUUCUAUUAAAGAUAUUGUAAAACAACAUAUUUUUAAGAUCAUGGAAGUAGGAGAAUCUAAAUAAAGAUGUUCUGCUCUUUCAUGAAAAUCUAUUUUCUUGUUACACUGAUGAACAUGAUGUACAUUAGGCGAUUCAUUAUCUCUUGGAAAGCAAGCAUUAUGUGAAAGAAUGGCUACUUGAUGCACAAAGAUCAAAUCAAUUGAGGGAAUUAUCAUGCAAUGUCAUUAUUGGAGAAACCGAGUUAAAUCGAGUUUUGGCACGGCCUUUUUCACCAGGUGGAGUGGUAGCAAUUUUUCCUGGUACAACCAAAGGAUUACUCAAAGCCAUGAUCCAAUCUUCACUGAGGCAAUUAUAUUGCGCCAUGGAAACAAUUAAGGUGGAAGAAAUUAAAGAAUUGGAGAAUAUAGGGGAUGAUGAGCUGAUUAAAAACAUCUUUCCUACUGAUACAAAAGAUGAUUCGGUGGAAGUGUCAGGUGUGGACUUUACUACAGCACUGAUAUCUGCAGAUUGGCAAAGAUGGGUAGAAUGAGCAGAGUUUAAGUUGCACUGAUUACAAAGACGCAAUGUAUAGAUAUCUAUGUCGCAGAUGCGAAUUUGACCAGCAAAGGCCUGAGGUGUAGAUGAACAGCAACUUUUAUCAGAUGCACAAGGAAAGCUGAAGAAAAUGUAGAUACUGAAAUCAGAAAAAGAAAGAAAGAAGAGAAGAAUACAGGUUAUGAAUGAUGCGUUGUGAGUUGUUGCACAGGAUCUUUUUCUGCUUGUUAUGGUAUAUUGUCCAGUAGAGGUUUUAUGCAAAGAUGUAGUAGGUUCAUUAGAUGAAGCUUGUUCAGAUUAUGAACAUCCAGCUUUAAGUACCUAAAAUGUUACUUGCUGAGUUGCUGUCACCUCCUGUGCAGCUAUAUCGAUAUGUUUCUCUUCUUCCAUUGUUUAGAAAACAAAAGAUUUUAGUUCCUUCUUUCAUGUGGUGCAAUUCUAGUACGUAUCUCCAGAGAUACUUUUCCAGGCAUAUGAUCAGCUUGUAUGUACUUGGCCUUCAGUCACAUCAGAAUCUCUCUCAGGGCAAACGGGGGAAUUGCGGAGGUACUUUUCCAGUUAAAUUGCGUUGGAGACUUUGGAGUCCUGACUUUCAUAUAUCUGCAGUGGAGCAGAGUUAGCCAAAUUUUGUACCUUUCAUCUCAGAUCUUUCUUGGUCUUAGGCAUUAAUUCUACUACUUUUUUUUUUCUGCAUCUGAAUUUUCUUAAAUUUCAUGGUCUGGUUUAAAUUCCAAUUGUUUUUCUGAUUUUAUUGGUUUUCUUUGUCAGAGACCCCGGGUGGGGAGAUCAUUAAAUCUUUAAUUGUUUCUUAGUUGAUAAAUUUGUUCCUAUACUUUCAUCACAUUAGGAUGACAUUUUCUCUAAAAUUUGCUGUAAGCAUGCUUUAUCAUAUUAACAGCUGCUUGUAAUAUUUUUCAAUAAGAAGGCUUAGCCUUUAUCCAAGUCAUUACUCCAAUUUCUGGCUUUUUUUUUUUGGGCUGUGAAAAAUCUGUAGCCCUUUUAAAAAUUGAUCCUCAUGCUUUUAUAAGUCUAGGAUUAAUAUUUGCUUAUACACAUUGGCUCAGUUGAUAAAGAGGAACCAUUGCGUCAUACAAAAUAAUGUGUUUAAAUUCUGCUAUUGAUGUGACUUGUAUUGUUGUGAUGGGAUCCGUAUCAAAAUUAAUUAAACUUAUUACUACUUAAAAGAAAUUAAUCUUUUUUAUUGUGAUGGCGUAUACACAAAUAACCUAAAAUAACAUACGGUUCAAACAAAUUAAAGUAUCUAUACUUUUUAAAUUUAUGAUAAAAAAAAGGCUAUAGUGAGUGAAAUAAGCCAAGUGAAUCAACUGACUUUCUUAUUUUUCUUGGAAAAAAUAAGUAAUGUCAGACAUUUUCAACUUAGAUUCAGAUUAAUUGCAAUUUGCACCCUUGAACUAAUACUUCUAUGCUAUUUAUACUCUAAAUUAGAAACCUUAACAUUGAACUGCUUUAUAAUACCAAAUUCUACUUAAAUUGAUUAAUUGAUAAAAAUCAAUCAUUGACUUUUGGUAGCGACUGUUGAAAGUAGACUUUAGUACCCCUUAAAGAAAAGGAGAGUAUUUUAUUGAAUAUAUAUAUGUAAACUAAGAAAUAACAGUACAAGAUACAAAGGUAUAAAAAUCCAUGGUUUACAAUACAAAUUGCAAAAUAACAUCUUUUGAAGAGACAUUUUUUUGUUUGAAUUUUCACAAUUGAGACGAAAAAAAAAUGCUUUUGAAUAACAUCUUGACACUUUGAAUUGUAAAUGUUUUUUGUUCAAAGGCAUAAAAUUAAAUGAAAAAAAGUACUGAUUUCUUAUUUGGGCAAUUUCGCAUCCUUCUCUAGAAGAGCCACCCACAAAAGAAAUCCCAUAUGAUAAUAGAAAACUUUCUUCUAGAUAAAUUGGAGAUUGAGGUCUGAAUGUGCAGCUAGCAUUUCUUUCAAUUUUCUUUUCUUGCUUGUUCCUGUUCCUUUUCUUGAAUUUAUCUAGAAGCUCUCUUUCAUUAUAUUUGAUUAUUUAGGACGGCAGGAUCAUGACUAAUAAACUAUUAGCUUAUAAUUCAACUCAAACACCUUAAUACCACCUUCCAUGACAAUUAUCUAGAAAUCAACCAAAUGGUCAAUGGCAUUGGUAAUUUGGCAUCAAUUUGCUAGAAGUUCUGAUUAAGAAACUCAGAAAUUCAUCCCCAUGACUAAUUCUUUUCCUAAGGUGCUACUACCACAGUCAAGAACACGAUAGCAGUAGAGUGUCAAAUUCAUGAUUCAAUGCAUUUGAAUUUGACUACAAGAUUGUCCUUAAAAAAAAAAAUCAUCAAAAUUCAGCAUUUACAUUAUGGUUGCCUCCUGGAUUUUCGUCUCAAAUUACCAACGUGAAAGAGUAGCUAAGAAGAAUCACGGUCAUAUGCUCCUUGUAUUUUCUUCCCUCACCAAGAAAGGAGCUAUUGAUGAGUAAUAAACUUACUUUAAUUUCAAUAAUCAUGUUAAUAAACCCACAAAAAAAAAAGAAAAAAAUGUGUAAAUUUUCUUCCAAGGACAGCAAGAGAGAAAAUGAUGGAGUGGUUGUAAGUGAAAUUAAAGCAUAUUGUAGCACUAUCUUUUGUGCAUUGAAAUUUAAAGUAUUGCCAAAUAAACAUAUUGUAGCACUAUCUAGUCCAGUCCCAAAAUUCAGUAAGACCUCUUCAGAUUCUUGAAGUCUAAAGAAUCUGUACAUUCUGCUCUAUCCCUAUACACAUUCAUCAACUUCAUUAGCUCAGUUGUCUUCUCUUUUGUUCCGUCUGUAGAACCAACUUGUAGGAGCAACAAGAGCUUUUGGAAAGCACCCAAUUGAAGUGCUUCAACAAGAACAUCUCCUCCUUCAGAUUUGUCAUUCUUACAAAGCUUCCAGAGGAUCGAAACUGAAAACUGAGUAGCCAAAUCUGAAAUUCGCAAUAGUUUCUUCACCAAAACAGGCACACUUAAAGCAUUACCAUAGGCUUUUUCCAUCCCUUCAUCGUAGCUGCAAACCUCAUCCAAAACUCCCAAUGCCUUCUCACAUAUGCUCUUUUCACAAUCCACCAGCAUUUCUAACAGAAUUUUGACCAAUUCCAUUUCAGUAAGCCUUGCAAUGACUUUAGAAUUGGCAGAGGAUGGUGGAUUGGAGACUAUAUGGUACAUGAGCAAUAGUGAAGCUUUUGUAGUACUAGGACUAAUAGGCUCUUUGAUCAGCUUAACCAAAGCUUCAAUAGCUCCCCCAAUCUCUAAUAGCUCGUCGAUCUUCCGCUGAUCAGAUGAAACAAUCUCAAUCAAUGCCAAAACAGAAUUUCUUCGUCCUGACAGAUUUCCAUUUUUCAAAAACCAUACCAUGCAAUGUAAAGAAGAAUCAGAUCCAAGAUAAGACUUUGCCUCUCCAUCAAGAGGUGAUAUUGUUAUCAAAGCUGACAAAAUUUCCUCCAAAAGCUCAACGUUUUGUUCAAAAGGCACCUUUGAGAAUGUCUUGAAUGCAGCAGCUAAGACUCCACCAGUGCCAUUAGCCGAAAUGCAUCGCUUGUUUCGCUCACUGUCCUUUGCCAACUCCUUGAUCUUCAGCACCAUUUCUCUGCACCUUUCUGCAUCCUGUUGAUCUUUUGCAGUCUGAAUUCCUGAAAGAAUCUCUGAAACCUCGUACGAGCUUAUCGGGAUUCUCGGAGUUGGAAUCCUCUCAAUCCCAUAAGACCUUUUCUCCACACACCAAUCUUGUAUCAUCAUCCUUAACGCAUGAUUAGGCACAGGCUCAAAACUCCUCAAGACUUGGUUAGUGACAGGACAGAUACUAUUACCAGCCUCAAUCCACUUCUCAAUGCUAUCGCGAUCGUAUGUUAUCCCUGUCGAUAAGGUCACUGGAUCCUUCAUCAAUUCUAACGAUAUUGGACAACGGAAAUGGCUAGGAAUUGUUAACUCCAUGUUGGAAGUUACCUCCAAAUUUUGCUUCUUUGCAGCACGCCUUGCAGCCCUUUUCUUCCUCCAUGACAAUAUCAUUGUUUUCCAACAAAAAUUUCAAGAACAAGAACCCUGAACAGAUCAAAAAUUUUUUUGAUGCGAAGGUGUUUCUGGCAACUAGUUAUAUAUCUUAUAAUCUAGGCUGUGUAAGUUUGGAUUGUGGAGCAGAAUUAGAGCGGUGUAGGGGAUAUAAAUAUGUUGGUUUAUGACAUUUUAAAAAAGGUUUACGCGGUCCAAUUUUCAAAACUUAGAAGAUUAUAUUUUUGGGUUUGGACUAAGGACUAUACAAUAAAGAAACGUUCAAGACGGCGUGUUUGAGAGGAGGAAGAGAAGAGAGGGAAUAGAAAGAUGGGAAUUGAACAUUGACCAUUGACACUUGACAGUUUGACAUGGUAAAAGAAGCCAAACCAGCAGAAGGGGCAAUUUGUGCGUGCUAUGGGUUUGAUGGGAAUAAAUCAAACAUUCAUUUGAAUCAAAGGUUUGACACAAAUAAGGAAGAAAAGUAGCUUUCAAAGGGUCGGUGGAUUGACUAAUAAAUCUGAAAACGCCUAAUAGUGUAAAACGUAGUGCAAAGGGAAAAUAGUUGUGGUAUGAGAGCAAGAAAUACGUGUAACAAAUCAUGAUAUUUUCAAGCUUUAUCUAACUAAUUAUUCUUUUUGCAUAGGAGACCUCGGUCUAUUUUUUUUUUUUUUUUGAUGCAGAUCUCACAAGUCUGUGAAUUAGUAAACUUUGCAUCAUCACACAAAACAAGAAAAGAACUCGUGCAUUACAUACAUUUUCUAAAUAUUUUGAGAUAUAUUGAUUAUUUUUUUUAUUAAGUAUAUAAAAGACGAAAUGAAUUUUUUCUCAUAUUAUAUCUCACGAAUAAUACUUUAAUCUCGACUUCUUGUAAAUAAUACUACUAUAUCUUGCACAGCUUUCUUAGUAAACCUUUUCUUUCUAUUACAUCCCAUGAAUAAUAUUUUGAUUUUGACAAAUUCUUUUGAACAAUAUAUCUUACGCGAAAUUUGUUGGAAUUGUGAAAAUGUAUAGGCAAGUACGUAAUAUUACAAAAUGGUUGGGGACUAAAAAUGAAAAAAAAAAAUACACGGAGACCGUCAAAGUUGUUUUUUUUUGCUCCGCCACAUGGGCUCCUUAACGCGAAUCAAACGCGCAAGGCUUUAGCCGGAGCGGGCUGUGACGGGGCUUAAUAUGUGAAAUAGAAGAUGUUGACCUGCGUCAAACUUUUCCAGGAAAAGUCACUCAAUUUUUCGUUAUUUACUAUGGGUAUUUUUAACGAGUGUUCACAGGGCACUCGUUAUAACACAUAAUAUUUAUUUAACUUAUCAUAUAUAUUCAUAUUGUAAUAAUUAUUAUCCUCCCUUGCAUUUACAUAUUUUUCCUAUUUAAUCUUAGACGUCUUCCUUUGUAUUUAUUUACUUUUCCAUAUUAAUCUUACUUUUUAAAAAAUAUAACACUUAAAAUAUAUUUUAACUAUAGCACAAAAAGAUAUUGAAAAACCUAAAAAGGAUGUAUGCAUACUUAGUAAUUAGCAUAUUACAAAAAAAUUGUUCCCAAGACUCAAUUUAACUAGUAGAGAUAUUGGCUUAGUGACUAUAAGUCAUUGCACAAGGUCUCUGGUUCAACUUUCAAGCAAAAAUAAUUCCAAGACAAAAAGUACAAAUAAAGAAGUCAUCAAAUUUUGGCAAAACUUAGAGAAUGUGGUAGCAGCAAAAUUCUGAUCCUAAGAUUCUUUGUUAUUUUCUAAUGGCCCACCCCCUUUCGUAAUGGAAGUAAUGUGUUUCAAUAAGAAAAAUGGAAAAUAAAAUUAGCGAAUUGAAUAAUGAUACAAAAAUGGGGACCAAGGGCAUGAACAGUUAUUAGUAACAAUCGUUUUGAACGAUGAAAUAUUUUUUAAAUAAGACGUAGCUUUACGUGAACUAUUUGUAAAAUUUAACAACAGAGAUACAAUUAUUACAUAUGGGAGCCAUAUGAACAGUAACAAAAUAUCACACUUCUGUUGCAAGAAUGUAUAAAUAUUUACAUAAAGUUGCAAAAUAUUAAAAAAAUAUUACAUUAUUCAGGAUGGUUAACAACCGUCCUGCUUCUUAAAAGUAGUGUGCCCACGAGAUGGGCUACAUCAAAACAAAGAGCAUUGGGCUAGGCUUUAAAGUAUAGCGUUGUUUGUGGCUAAGCCCAGACAGUGCCAAGGCCCAAUAACAGCUUUAUAAUACUGUUCAUUUCGAUGGUUGCCCAUCAACGCAGUAGUGGCAUUCCUCCACUGCAAACUAGGAUAACCUUCUACUCCUCUAAACUUUUUUUUCUUUAUUAAAAAAAAAAACCGAAAAGGAGAAAAUGAAGAGAACAAGACAGCAUAUAAAUAACAAAACUACAUGCGACCGUUGCUAAAAGGUUAAUGGCCUUGAUUGCCCAAAAAAAAAAAAAAAAAAAGGUGCAGAUCAGAUUAUAAGAUCUAUAUUGAUUUUAAUAACAUAUGUGGGACUCACAAAAAAAAUAUUAAGUUUACAUUAUGUUAAAAUUCAUUCAUAUUAUGAAUAAAAUAGUUUAAUAUUGUGUUCAAAUGCACGAAACCGUUUCAGCACAGUUGCACUACAAUCCGUCCACUAGGUGUUGGUAUACGAGUUUUUACUUAUUUGACGUAUAUUGCAUCUCGUGAAUUAUGUCGCUGCAUUCACUAUUUCACCGGAUCGCCAUGGUACUAACUCAUCAUCCUUUUUUGAUAGUUGACAUGAUGUUAUUAAGGAGUGAACUAUGAUAGAUUUCAUACUUAAGAGGGCAAAGUGUCCGAAAUUGAAGUUUAAGAACUAAAGUGAUACUGCUUUAUGGUUUAAGGGUCUAAAGUAGCGUUUACCUAAAUCAAUUCUACCCUAAUCUAAUUUCAGAAUGAAAAACAUUACUUGAUAGAUUUAGUUGCAAUACAUCUUAUCACCUAAAAUCAUCUAAUAGAUUAGUAUGUUGUGACUCCAGUCCCAGCAUACUAAUUUUAGCCCAAUGUUCUCUUAUAGAACAAACAUUUCUCCUUGAACCACAUGAUGUUUGAAACAUGUAUGAGCAUACUAAAGGGUCAAAAUUGAAAAAAAGCCUCAGAUUUGAGAUUGGAGGAUGACCCAAAUUUUUAAGAACAAAACUGUUUUGGUAAAAUCAAUGUAAAAGGGUAAAGUAAUCGAUUGCUCUUGGAUUGUUAUUUAUGUCUCAUUUUGCAUUACUUAAGUGCGAAUCUGAAUUGUCAACUUCCAGUUAUUGAUGAAGUGGCAUAUCAAAUUACUUUUUUCAAAAUUUACAUUAAAGUUACAUGUUUUAUAUGUAAAAAUUUUUCUUAAUAUCUAUAUUAGAUAUGAUUAAAUCACUGCAGCCUGCUUUAAGAAUAAAAGUAUUGUGGUGAUUUAUACCACUGCAUUUUUUAUCAUUAGCAAACAUUAUACCCGUGCAUCGCACGGAUGAAAUAAGAAUGUUUAGAUUAUUAGAAAUUAUAAAUUUUUGGAUCACUUGAUCUAUAAAUUGGAUCCUGAGUCACUUAUUAUUAUCAUUUGUACAGCAUUUAGAGUACUUAAUUGAUUAUAGUAUGAUACAUCGAAAGUCAUGACUCAUGGUAGCCAUGAAAACAUAAUCAUUGUGAUUAGUGUAUCAACAUUUUCUACUUAAGCUACUUUAAAAUCUGUUGAUUUUUUUGAACGAUAAUAAAAACUUUUGACCAUUUUAAUUAUCUCGUCACUUAUACCAUAACCUAAUUCAUUAGUUGACAUAUUAUCAAUUACUUAAUGGAUUUUUCUUAUGCGUGCCCUUGUGGCACUCAUUAAGGUAUUUAAAUUACAUUUUACUUACCAUGCGAAUGCACACAUUCAUAUUUGUUGAUGCCCUUACAUUUAAAUAUUUUCAAAUUAGUUUUACUCUUCCUAGACAAUUAACAUAGGAAACUAUCUUAAUGUGCAGAGGAACUCUCAAUAAGCCAAAUCGAUACUUAAUUAGUAUAUCUAUUUAUUAACAUGCUCAAUCAAUUGAGUCAGAAUAUAUGCUAAGAUAUCAUUUUGAACUACCCUUUAUGGUGAUUUUCUUGAUGAUACGAAGCCAUAGAAAUUUUGGCUCAAUUUGGAUUAACUGUUUUUGGGAGUAUUAUUAAAAUAUUUUACUGUAACAAUGUAUAUGAAAAUCUUUUUCUGUAAAUGUUUUUGGGGGUAUUUUUAAAGGUGUUUUGGAAUAUAUUUUGGAAUCUAUAUCCAUUUAACCAUCCAUAUCCACCUCAUUUAAAUGGUUUUGGAUUACUAAAAAAAUUAGAUGGACAUUGAUGGACAUCCAAGUAAAACCAAUUGGGUUAAUGGUUUUAAAUGGAUAUUUUUAAAGUUUAAAAACUUUUUGGGAUAUUUUUUAAAAAUUAAUACCACCACUCUCUCCUUCCCUCCUCCUCCCUCUUACUCCUCCCUCCCAUUUCUUGCCACACCCCACCUCUCCCCAAUCUAGCCUUGACCAGAUCACGAACAAAAAGGUCGCGCGACCUUUCAUGAUCUGGUUGAGGCUAGAUUGGAGGGGAGAGGGGAAGGGCUGGGUGUGUGACCUUCCAUGAUCUGGUUGCAAUCUGGUUGAGACUAGAUCCAGGGGGGAGGGAAAUCGCUGGGUGUGGCAGGAAAGCAGAGGAGGAGAAAGGAGGAGGGAGAGGAAAGAGAGGGAGGAGGAAGAGGGAGAGAGAGGAAAGAGGAGGAAGGAUGGGAUGGUGGCGGUGAUAGGUGGGGGGUGGUGGUGAUAGUAGAAAAAGUUGGUAUAGAUUUUAUUUUUUAAUUUGUUUUGUAUAUUUGGAGUUAUUUUUAAUAUAUUGUAUAAAUGUGGUAGUUUUGGAGUUAUUUUUGUUUUUAUUUGUGUACUACUAUAACAUUAUUUCUCCUAUCAUCCCAUUUUAUUAGUUUUGAUUUCUAUUUUAGAUUGUUUUAAAUUAUUUGUCAUGGUUUUAAAAGGGAAAUGAAAAAAAGACUAGCCUCCCAAUGUUACCCUUCAUUCAAUUUUCAGAAAGAGUACUAAAAUUAUGUUUCAAUAUUAAAUGCUCUAACGAACUAAUGUAAAAUUCAAAACUUCAAAAACAACUAACAAAAUUUGAAUUUGAGUUAAGGGUUAAUCAUGGAAAGAGCUAUUUCAUGGUGGGUCAAAGUGCAAAGUUGACCAUGACAAGUAAAACAGGACGGAUGGAGUAUUUUAUAAGUGCAAAGUUGACCAUGAUAGUAUUUUAUAGGUAGAGGCAAUCCUGCUUAAUCUUUUGCUACUUAGUACACAAGUGUAUAUUGUUUGUGUAACAUAAAAUUCCAAAAAAUAAAGAUAAAAAAUAAACACACCAAAAAUUAGAAAACACAAGGUUGAAAGGGUAUCUUUUACCUCUACCACCACUCUAACCCCUCUUUUUAUCACCUGUCCACUACCAUCAAUCUCGACAGCCUAUUCUCUAUUCUUCCACUACUGCUUUUACCCCAUAAAUUUGCCUCCAAUCCCGCACAUCUCUCACCAACCACUAUUCUUCUCUCUUGCCUUUCCUUCCUGCUCUAUCCCCUUCCUUAAAUCUAACCAAAAUUGGUCAAAUCUGAACACAUGAGACCAAAUCUAAGGAAGGGCAAGUAGCGUGAGUGCAAGGGAAGAGAGGGGAAAGAAAGAAAGGGAUGGUGUUUGAGGGAAGAAAGAGGAGCAGAUGAGGAGGAUCUAACGAUAGUGGAAGAGAGAAGAGGCACACCCUUUCCUACAUCUAACUGCAAUUGGUCAGAUUUGGUUGCUUACGACCAACUCCAAGAAAGAGUGAGUAAUAUGAGUGUUGGGGAAGAGGGGAAAGAGAGGAACAAAUGGUAUUUGGAAGAGAGAGAGAGAGAGAGCAGAUGAGGAGGAUUUGAGCGAUGGUGGAAGAGAGAAAAGGUGCCCUCUUCUGUAGAUAUAAUGGCAAUUGGUCAAAUAUGGUCAUGCACAACCAAAUCCAAGGAAGGGAAAGCAAUGUAAGUGCUGGAAGAAGAGAAAAAGAGAGGAAGGAAUGGUGUUUGGAAAAGUAAAAAGGAGCGAAUGAGAAGAAUUUGGGGGAUAGUGAAAGAGAGAAAAGGGAGGAAAGAGAUGGCAGGCUAGGGGAAAGAAUGGGUUGCUUGGAUAAGAAUGGUGCUGAUGGAGUCAAUGAGAGGCAGUGGGGAAGAAUGGGGAAGGUGGCAAUAGUAGUAUAGAAGAUGAUGGUAGACAGUGGUUCAUUUUUCUUUUUUUCGAUAAGUAGGAGGUGUCAAAUUCAAAGCCUAUCACUUUAUACUUCCUCUUAUCCCGACAGUGGUUAAUUGGUAUUAAGAGAAAGGGGAGACAAAUGCGACCCCAAAAACCCUAAACAAAAUAUACCAAACAAAAUAUGCUCCAAUGAACAAAAUCUAUAGUGGAAAUUUUUAGAAACACUGCAAAAUACAUUAGUUUAAAUGGACCCUACAUUUUCCAUUGAUGUUUCAUAGAUGAAUUUUUUUCGAACUAUCUAAACUAGAUAUUUUUCAAUGAAAUUAAGUUACCAUAACAUACUUCAAGAAUAAAAGGAUUGUGAUGAUUUAUACCAUGUCAAUUUCUAUGAAUACAAAACCUAACCUCUUACUUUGCAGUAGUAAAAGUAAAACACUAUUCCCAUUCAAUGCAGGAACUCAAAACUAUCUAUUAAUGAAAGAUUAAUGUUAUAUAUGCUGUCAGUGUAUAUACUAUCAUCGUUAGAUGGAUAACACAUAUGCAAAUUUUGAAUUUGAAAUUCAAAAUUUGUUUAUGUGUUAUCCAUCCAACCAUAAUAGUAUAAACACUGACAGUGUAUAUAAAAUUUACUCUUUAAUGAAAUAUAAAUUUCUAUCUCAAUUACAUGAAAUAUAAAUUAAAUCUCCUAUGUUGCAACAAUUUAAUGAAUAAGAUUAGAUAAUGAUUACCUAUAUUAUUUUCUCAAUCUCGUUAUGUUUAUUAUAUCUUGAAUUUGUUUGCUCUUUCAAUGCUCACAGUUUGAGUGAUAUAUUAUAAGAUUCUAUUCGGUUUCUUUGAAACACACUAAGACGCAGAGUUGGAACUUUUGUACAACAAUGCCUUACUCGCUGCCUAGGUCACCUUGCAUAUCUACGUAUCCAUGUCGUCCAAGAGGUGAACAAACAUCUAAACGUUCUUUCAUUCAUUUUCUCACUUACACCCAUCUUUUUAAGCUCAGACCGGACCGGCUUGUCCGACCGGUUGAACCUGAAAUCGGCUAAGUGUCCUGUCCGAACUAUCUUAAAAACUUGGAUUGGUCAAGACUUGGUCAAAACCGGGUUUGAUCGAAAACCUGAAGAACUAGUAAAAAUUAGGUUUUUCUUAUUCUCCUUUUUAAAAUUUUUUUCCCUUCCUGACCUCUAACUCCAAAUCCUUGUGAGCUCUCCAGUCCUCUGCAAAUCCAUUUUCGCUCUUUGACUUCAAUUCAAGUAUAAAAAAUGAAUGUUUUAACCUUUUUUAGAACAAGAUAUACUUAGAUCUUGUAUUCAAAAGAAGAAAAGACCCAAAAAUGAAAAAAAGGGAGUGGACAAGAGAAAAGUUUGAAGAAAACAGAUAAAAGCAUGAUAUUUCAAGGGUUUGAGAACAAAUAACUAAUUAAAUAAGAAUGAAAAUGAAAUUAAAAAAAGAAGAAGAAGAAGAAGAAAGGAGUUGCAGAAUGGCAAAGAAGGAGGAAGAUGAAAUGCUCUAUGGAAUGCGUCAACCAUUAGGAGUAGGGGAAGAAAUGGGAAGUGUGAUGUGGGGUCAAAGCACUUACAUCUGAUAUAGGGUCAAAGCAUUUUCAAUAUUAUGUUUUGACCCUUAAGUUGUUAAAAGUUAUUAAUAUAUCUCAAAUAUUUCAUACUUUAUAAAUGUUGUCCUAAAGUUUGGUGUUAUUUUUCAAUCAAAUCCAUAAUUUUAAUUCAAAACUUGUUACUAUUCAUUGAAUAAUAUAAUCGCUCCUUGAUUAUUCUAAUUUCUUUGUAUUUUAUUGUUAAAUACAUUUGAAACAUUAAAUAUAUAUGAAUAUACCUUGAUUAAUGUUAACAUGAUCUUAGGUAUUUUAAAUAUAAUAUUUUAAUUUUUAAAUAAUUUUUAUUUUAUGACAUCAUCCGAUUUAACCCUCGAUCGAAUCCGAUUGAAUCUAUUGACCCUCGACCCUUGACUCUGAUCGAGUCGAUACCUGAUCCAAGUCUGAAAGUAUAGAUAUACACACUUGCCUGUCCACCUUCCCUUCCUCAAUUUUUUCCAUAACAUAGAUCUUCAAAUUUCUAAAUGUGUAUAACACUAACAUUUAUGUCAAAAUAACUCGAUGAAGUUUAAAUAAUAUGCCAAAUGCAGUGCUCGAGAAAGAUUGGCUAAAUUUGGUUGGGGUGAAUGAAGAAGUUGCUCGGGCCAUCAUCCAACAAGAUAGCCCGUUGGUCAAGGUACAAAUUGUAUCCUGGGGUUUUCGACCAAUCAUGAGACAUUGUGGUGACCGCACCGUAAGGCUAUACCUUGACAGGGAUGGCAAUGUUCAAAGUACCUGUAGCAUUGGUUAGAAUGAACUACAAAUAGCUCCAAAUAGAAAAAAUCAAGUUUUUUUGUUAGUCCUUGACUAUUUAUUCAUUUCCUUUUAUGUAGUCUUUAAAAUAUAAAUGAGUGACAUUGUUUAUCUCUAUCCAUGACUACUAAGGGCUGCCUUUUUUGGGGUAAGAACAAAAGUCCAAGUGCAAACAUCUGAAUUGGUUCCAUUUUGGUUAAAGACCAAUUGAACACUACAUUUUUUUUUUCCUUUUCAUUGCAUAAAUUGCUUAUAAACCCUUGUAAUUUUACAUAAUGCUAGAUGACCUCCCCUAAAGUUUCAAAAUAUCCAUUUAACCCUCUAUGAUUUAUAUAAAGUGAAAAAUAAACAGAGCGCACAAUUAGUUACGGUGUUUAUAUCAAAAACACUUUAAAAGCAAGUGUAAUAAAAACUUAAUCUUCAUGUAACCCCCCUUAUGAUUUAUAUAAAUAUCUAUUUUACUCCCCUUUGAUUUUUAUAUUUAUUCACAUAAUCCUCCUAUACUUUUAUACAAGGUAGUUAAGUCAUUUAUUGAUUUAGCAUUUAAGUAAGGACGCUAUUAAUAUUUCAAUAAACGACAUUAUAGACUAUUUUUAUCAAAUUUUCACUUUACAUAAAAUUGUGGGGGUGAAAUGAAUAUUUUAAAAUAUUAGAGGGGUCACAUGGCAAUAAACAAAAUCACAAGAGGAUUAUAUGUUAUUUAACCUUUUUUAUUUUAAAAGCGGAUCAAUAAUAAUUUUUUACUUAUUCUCUUGAUGACUCAAAUUCGUGAUUGUGAAAUGCCUUACCAACUAAACCACGUUUUGUUGUCCAAUUGAACAACAUUAAACAUGAGCAUUUUGCAAAUUGAUAAGGAUACCACUUAGCGACCCUUGAAGAACUAGAAGGAAAACUACUUUGGCAAAUCCACAGAUAUUCCAAUGCUCUUGAUUGUUUUUAAUGUCUCCUUUCAUAUUACUCGAAUGGGAAUCUAAAUCGUCAACUUCUCAUAAUUGAUGGAAUAGCGUAUCAAUUGUUUUCCCAAUUCACGUUCUAUACUGUUGCUUUUAAUUUCUUGUAAAAUAGUAAAAUCUCUAUAAAGUAAUAUUCAAUAAAUUAAUAGUCUUUAUUAAAUAAUAAUUUUUCUUGAUUUUGACUUGGAUUAACGAGCUAAACUAAUAAUUUCAAUAAAAGAAUAAGAUAAUAAUAUUUGUUGAAAGCCUUAUAAAACUCUUUGGUCCAUUUAUAUCAUAAAUUAAUAAUUUACUAAAAUUACAUAUCAUAUUUCCUUAAAUAUGAUUCUAUUAUUGUUAUUUUUCUUAAAAUUUAAAACUUGAAUCUCAUUCCCAAUUUUUCUGAUCCCAUCUAAAAAUUUUGGACUUCAAUUCUCUUAUUGCAACAAGAAAUUAUGAAAAUUUAUUAAUGCUUUAAGUGUUUCCUUCCGUGUAACAGGUUUUAGAGCUAUUGUAUCAUCCUCAACUUCAUCAUUAGUAGAAUUUUCAGUACGUGAUGCUAGCAAAAUUUCUUCUAAACUUGACUAUAUUAGAAUUAUACUUGCGAAUCAAGUAGAUAUAGAUUGGUUUAUGUUCUUAGAGAUUUAGCUUCCUUUAAUUAAUUGAAUAAUUCAUAUUUUUAUAAAAUAAAAUAAAACUUUAGUUAAUUAUAUGAGUAUUUCUUUGAAUUGCAAGUACACUCGAUAAAUUAAUGAAUUACUAAUUUAUUAAUUAACUAAUACCACUUUAAAUUAAUAGAAUCUAUAUGAUCCCAAGAUUAUUAAUUUAUAAAGGUUUUUCUGUACUCCUCUCUAUAAGCUAAUAGUAGGUAUAUAUUCUAUAACACAAUAAAAUUAGAAAUAACUCACUGUGCAAUGUUUAGAUGCUUAACAUGAACAUUUUUUAAAUUUAUUUAUUUUAUGUAAGUGGGGGGUUAUGAAUUCAAAAUCUCUUACUUACAAUCUCUUUCACUUCAUCACAUAAUCUAACCCUCCCUCCUGUGCUUAAUAUGAACAUAGUGUACAUGAAUCCAAUAAUUAUGAGUAUCAUAUAAAAGUUCUCUAGUUAAUUUUUUCUCUUCCUAUUAGAUUUUCAUAUUUUUCCCAAUUCAAGCCUUUGCCAGCAAGCACAUCUACAUUUCACUGACCUGCACCGCCCUUUGCAUUUUGUGUUACUCUAAUGAUCUGCUGAUCAUUAUUCUACUUAUCAGUUAUCUCUCGUACACUUAUCAACGAGCUUUCUCAAACUGCAUGUUCUGGAUGGAGUCGAAGUAAAUUCAUGCAAAUAAACAUAAUUUUAAGUCCCAAACAAACAUCUUUACCGCCUUAACCAAAAAAAACGUUGUAAUUAAGGACACUACUCCUUUGCGCAUUCGAGUUUCCAAAUGUCUAAUAGGUUUUUCCUGCUACCAGUAUAUAUAAUCAUGCAGAUUAAUGCCGUAACCCUAAAUAUUGUCUUCCAGCAGUCAAGACUUCAGGUAUUGAUCUAAGUACUCUCGUUGUUUUUCUUGCAAAUCUUUAACAAACUCAUAAACUAGUAGCUACUAGAUUCAAUAAAUUUCUAUAUUUUUUCGAUUGGUAAAGUUUAGAGAUACAUUGGAUUUGCAGAAAUUUACUGGUAGCAGCUGUUGAUAUAUGGAUCGAGAUUGUCUGAUAGGGUUUCGUUUUAGGCCAACAGAGGAAGAAAUAAUCACCCUCCUCUGGUUAAAGGCUUCAAACCAGCAAAAACAUACAACGGAUGUUGUCCCGGAGAAGAUACUUGACGGUGCUGAUGCUUCUCCCUGGAAGCUUUUUGGAGCUGAUGAUCUUCGUUGGCAAUUAUGUGAUGACAGUGGAAAGAAGCGUACGAAAAGAAUGGCAUAUGUGUUUACUAAGCUGUCCAAGAUGAGUGCCAAUAGGACUGCAAAAACCGCUGGUUGCAGGACAUGGGAGGGACAAGCUAAGGCACAAGACAUUCCCAACUCUAGAGGAGAGAUAAUUGGUUUGAGGAAAAUGUUGAGCUAUGUAUUGAAUUCUGGUUCGCCUCAAGGUGGUGGAUAGAUCAUGCAUGAAUAUUCACUCACUGGUUCUUUGUUGGAUCGCAUAGGCCCUACAGAUUAUGUUGUUUGCCGGAUCGCAAUAGAUGAUGAAAAAUAUACUGAGGUGAAAAAAGUGGCAGAAGCCAAACAAGGAGUUAAUCAAUCUGGCUCCAUGAGAUGUACCAAGAAUCCUAAAGUUUUAGGCAAGAGAUCGGAGCCAAGUUUUGUGCAACAAAGAUCAGACCCAAGUAAGAUGCCAAGAAGCGGAGUAGUAGAAGAAGAAACAUCAGGGAACGCUGCUGCGCUAACUUGGCCAUGGGAGCUAGUACGGAUGGAGCAAUUGAGACGCCUAAUUCUUUGAAUAACUAUGAGGGAUUUGUUAUCAAUCCUCAAGCAAUUAUGUCUGAUAAGUUAUUUGGUAUGGACGGACAAACUUCUGACAGAGAUGCGUCCCUUGAGGGUGCUCAAUCCACGAAUUUGGUGGGUGGGAUUGGUGAUGCUUUUGGAUUGGAAGAUGAGACGGUACAAUUUACCGCUCUAUUGAAUGGGAUAUUGCAAGAAGAUGAUGGAUCAGUCCAACCGGAAGUAGCGUUACAAUAUGUAUGCACAACCAAUUUCAGUGACAAAUGAAUGGUUCCAAGAUGCCCUACAAUCUUUCAGACUUGUGGUUUGAUCAGGACCUAGGGGACAAAAUGAAUAAUUGAUGGGGACUCGAGAGAUAACAGGAAGAACUAAUAGUAGACUAAUGAUAAGACGAAUUAACGUUUUGAAAAUACAUUGUUUCUGCAAUUUUGGAUUAAUUUUUCUUGUUAUUUAUAGUGCCACAAUUCCUUCCUAGUUAAUGCUAUAACUGCAAAUCAUAGCUCUUGAAUUGGCAGCAGAAAUCUGGAAUUGCUAGCUUAAUCUUUGCUGUUAUUUGAGCAAUUUUAACAUAGUGAGAGAAUUUUCAUAACCAUUGGUUUAAUAACUGUGAAUAGCUAGAUUGUAUUGUUGGCAAUAGCAAGCAUAAAUGUCGUUGAGAUUUCUUGUGUCCUCACAUUAGCCGCUAAGGACAUAAAUUAUAUGCUAGUAUCCCAUUCAUAAAAUGAAAAAUACCACCAGCAAAUCAGUAAAAAGAGUUUGGGACCAAAUAAAGGAAGAUUAAUCUAUAUACUAGAUCAAUUUACUUCUUUUCUAUAUCAUAAUUUUAAGGUACGCACUUUUACUAUUAAUACAUUAUUAUUUGUAGGGUUGCGAGGCUUCAUAAGAUGCUUGCUCUAUUUAUGUCUAACGUGUUUGGGAACUGGUCUAGAAGGGCAUACGCUUGAAAGAUGUGAUAUAGCUAGUUCCGUAUGGUUCUUGGUGGCAAAAAUGAUGUCAUAUAUAUAUACACACUAAACAAAGUUACAUAUAUUAAUUUUUCUAUAUUUAAAUUAUGCACUGCAUACUUCAAAUUGUUCAAAUCUGGCUUAAAGAGAGAUUCACUCAAAUCCUAAUUAAUGCGUACAAUAUGAAACUUAACAUAUAUUUUCCCCCUUUUUUUGUCUAACAAAAAAGGAAAUUCAAACAGUCUCUAGUGCUAUAAUAAGAGAAAUAGUGAUGCUAAAGCACAAAAUAUUCAGGAGGCCUUCAGCGAGGCAUCUGCAUGGUCCUCUAUUAAAGUCCAUGCCAUGUCCACAUGCCUAUAGUCCGUAAGGGGACCCCCAAUAGCAAACCUGAUAAAAUAGAUUCCUCCAAUUACACCAUGAGUCAUGUAAACAUGGCCAGAAGCGUUCAAGGACUCAACAAGUUUUUGAUUAAUUAGGUUCACAUCUUCUUCAGUACUUAAUAUCUUGCAAUUCUGAUUCAUUGCUGAUGGAGAAAUCCUGAAGCAAACCAGAGAAAAUUUCCUAGGGACAACAAUUUCAAACCUUUUGUUCAUGGCCGCUAGCUGUUCAAAAUGUUUAGCCAUAUUGACAUGGCCCCUUAUGAAUUUUUGAAGAUUAACCACGCCAUAACUUCUUAGUACAAGCCAAAGUUUCAAGGCUCUGAAUCUCCUGCUCAAAUUUAUCUGCCAAUCUUUGUAAUCCACAACUUGCUUAGAAUCGGUCGCCUGGUUCCUCAAUAUUUCAGGCUUUGUGGACAAAGCCUUUAUAAGUGCACUCGGGUCCUUCACCCAAAGGCAGCAGCAAUCCAGGGAAGAAAAGAACCAUUUGUGUGCAUUAAGGCUAAAGGAAUUUGCACCCUCAACUCCAUCAAGAAAAUGGCGAAAUUCUGGGCAAAUACAAGCACUUCCUGCAUAUGCAGCAUCAACAUGAACCCACAUAUCAUAUUCCUCAGCAAUGUUGCAUAUUGGUCCCAGUGGAUCAACAGCAGUUGAUAAAGUAGUCCCAACUGUAGCACACAAGUACAAGGGGACUAGUCCACCUUCAACAUCCGCAAUAGUUGCAGAACCUACAGAAUUUGGACAAAGGCUAAACUCGUCAUCCUUUGUGGUGGAAAUGACUCGGAAAUUACUGGGAUUUAUGCCAGCAAUUUGGGCUGCUUUUUGGAAAGAAAAAUGUGUUUGAUUAGACAGAUAAACAACCAACUUUCCAAUAUUAUUCCUCCCAAUUUUUCUCAACAUUUGAUCUCUAGCAGCAACAAGGGUGGAUAACAUGGCUUCACAGGUUGUUCCCUGUAGAACUCCUCCACCACCACCACUAAAUAGGAAGGAACCUGGAAGCUUUAGCAAUUUUCCAAACCAAUCCAUGACAAUAUUCUCUAACUCUGUCGCGGCUGGGGAUGAUAUCCAGUUAAAACCGACAACAUUAAAACCUGUGCUUAGCACUUCCCCAAGGAAUCCGGCAGUGCUAGUAGCACAUGGGAAAAGAGCAAAAUGGCUAGGGCUUUGCCAAUGAGUAAGCCCUGGAAUGAUAUGCUUUUGCAGAUCACGUAGGAUAUUUUCAAUGGGUUCAGGGUUACAUGGAGCUGAAUCAGGCAAAUGACUCUUGAGAUAAUUUGGCUCUACUUGGCUUCGAACUGGAUAUUUUUCAAUAUUUUGGUAAUAAUCAGCCAGGUAGUCUAUGACCAUGUGGCCUUGCCUUCUGAAUUCUUCAGGAUCUAGAGGACUCGUGGCAUAGGAGAAUUCAUUUUGGAAAUCAGGAUGGAUGUUGAAACUUCCCAUGUUAGAAGGUUUGAUGCUUUGAAUUCGAGUUGCAAGCAAGUUGUGCCACUUCCUAGUUCCUAGUAACAGAUUUAUAGGACAAUAGUUGGAAGUCUUGUCAAAGCAAAAACUUGUUUUGUUUUGUUCCACAUUAUAUUGUUCACACGAAAAAUGUUAAACUUGUUUCACGUAAAAUAAAAAAAAAUUUCAAUUCUGCCUUGGUCAAAUGCAACCAAAGGGAGGACCGACGAAUAACACACAUCAGGCGGGGCAAGUUUAGCCCUAAAUUCCAAAAGAUUUGCUGGUUUUGUUGAUCCGUACGUCUUCAUCAUUAGAUUUUGCUAGUACAAUUAUUCGUCAUUCCAAUAAGCAUCAAAUCCCACCCCCAACUGUUAACUCUCGUGCUUAAUCUAAUUAAGUGUGUGUGUUUAUUUCAAUUUCUAAAAAAAUCAAAUCCCGCCCCCAAUGGGCAGCUCGUCUCAUUCCGUCGUUCGCUCUUUAGGCGGCAGAUUCUCACUUCAACCUUCGUUGGCAACGUGUUGGUAUCUUGGGCAGGACUCUACCAUCCGCAGGGGAUUAGUCUAGUCCAAUCAAAUUCCGCCCCCAACUGUUAACUCUCGUGCUUAGUCUAAUUAAGUGUGUGUGUGUGUGUGUGUGUUUAUUUCAAUUUCUGAAAAAAUCAAAUCCCACCCCCAACGGGCAGCUCGUCUCAUUCCGCCGUUCGCUCUUUAGCGGCAGAUUCUCACUUCAACCCUCGUUGAUAACGUGUUGGUAUCCUUGGGCAGGACUCUGCCAGCCGUAGGGGAUUAGUCUAGUCCAUAAGAUCAGGACACCCCUGGGUCGGAACAAAAAAAAAAACAAUAAGCAUCAAAUCGCUCUACUUCUUUGUCUUUUGGGUGUUUGUUUACCUCGAGUUUCCAACUUCUAUCAAUAUAGCUUUAGAUGAGAAACAUGUAUGCUGAAGUAUAUAUCAAGGGUUGAGAUCGGCAAAGCACAAUGGAGAUGAGCUAUACAGCCCUAAUUAUUAUUAUUAUUAUUAUUAUUAUUAUUAUUGUUUUCGGGUUGCUAAUAUGGAGUAAAUUUACAAAGAUGGGUAGUUUUUCAAACAAAAAAUCAAGUAGUGAAACAUAUUUUUACGUAUCAAAGCAUGCAUAUCAUAUUUUUACUCUUUACUCAUUUCAUUUUGCCUCUAAUGUCAUUUUUCUCAAUUUGAGGUACAAAGUGUUAAAUGGCUAGGACUUCAUUAUGGAUUUUGGUACUUGCAUUGAUUGUUUGGGAUAAUUUCGAUUUAUGGCUCAAAUUAUGCCACUUCAGAGUGACCUACUUAAAAGGACAAAAAAGAAAAGGUCUCCUCACCCCACCAAGAAAAAAUGAAAAAGUUUUUGUCACACGUAAAACAAAUUUUUGUCGUACGACAACAUCAUGCCCACAAAAUGUAGCGGAUUCGCCCAUCAGAGCUAGGGCCUAUAUGGAUUUCCCUAUUGGGAAAAUCGCCUAUUUGGUUCCUAAACUUUUUCAGUAAGGCCUUAUUGGUCUUGAUUUUUUUUUUAAUUAUUACUUCACUUUUAGUUGAUAAUUUCAAGCAACAUUUAGGAACAUUUCUAGAUAUAUUUUUCAUUAGAUCUUUUAAAUAUGGGUCAUUCUCAAAUCUCAAACCUUAGCCUUGUUUCCAUUUCAACCCCUUUAGUUUGCUCAUUUAUAUUUCAAACAUCAUGUGGUUCAAGGACAGGUGUUUAUUCAAUAACUGUAAGAAAAAACUAUGCUAAAAUUAGUGUCUUAGGACUGAAACUCACAAAGUUGAUUUUAGUUGAGGAGAUACAUUAAAACUAAGCCCAUGAGGUAAUGUUAGUCAUUCUGACAUAAAAUUAGGGUAGAAUUGAAUUGGAUAAAUUUUAUUUUGGACCCUUAUAUUAUAGAUGCCCUCCUACUUUGGUCGUUAAAAUUCAAUUUUAGACACUUUGCCCUUUAAAGUAUGAAUUCAUCCCAUUUUAGUCCUCUAAAUUCCAAGUUCAAACACUUUACAGCCUAAAAAAUGAAAUCCUUCUCACCAGAGUAUCACAACUAACGGAAUAUUUGAUUGUUUAAAAUUUAAAUUGUUAGGCAAGUGAUGCUCAAUAUUUGAGAACUAAAGUGGGAUGAGUUUAAUACUUUAGAGGUUAAAGUGGUCAAAAUUGAAGUUUAAGGAUUAAAAUGGGAUAGGAUUUCAUAUUUUAGGAAGUAAAGUGUUUGAAAUUGAAGUUUAAAGACUGAAGUAGAAGCAAGUCUACAAUUUAAGGACACAAAGAGAAUGUACCCAAUUGAUUGUCAAACUGCGAAUUUUCUACUCUCAAGCAUCAAAUUAGUGGAACAUUUAGUGCGAGGCAGUGAAAAUUUGACUAUUACCGCUAUAAUUUUGAAAACAUUUUAUUUUGCCCCCACUAUAACUGUUUUUGUAACUUCAUAUAAUUGGAUAAAGAAUCCAAAAAUUUUCCAAAAUCACAUAGUUCCAUUGGAACUUGUUAUAGUUUAUUGUUCAAUAAUUAAACGAUUUGUACAGACAGUUUUCAGUAAAACAAGAGGUACUUUUUUUUGGGUUAAUUUACUUAUAAAGCAAUUAUCUACUUAACUGUUCUCUAGAUCUUCUUCUGCUGCACAAAAACAGUAGCUCUCUUCUCGAUCUCUCACCCAAUCUUCUUUCUCCUCCUUUGAUCACCCAAUCAUCUCUCGCCUUUUCACUGAGCUGUAAAUAUGAAUGUUAUAAAAUGCCAAACAUGAAAAAACUCAUCUCAAGCAAUUGUAAAAGCUUUUAUAUAAUCUUUGAGGAAAUUCAUUGUUGUAAUGGUGCAUUCAAGUUUGACAAAAAAAAAAAAAAACAGAGAGAGACACAAAGAUUGAGAAUUCGAUUAUCAUUUUAUGGUAUGUGAAUAUUUUUAUUAUGUCCUAAUUGAAGGGAACUGUAAUUUGGUUUUUGCUCCCGCUAGAAAUUAUAUCUAACUCCUCCACCAUAUUAAAUAGGGGGUGAGAUCCACUCUAUUUAUUACCUUUCUCUCCAUUUAUCUAUCUAUUUUUUAAUAUUUUCACAAUUAGCUAUUUUUACAACAAUCUGUUUGUAUCAAUAAUUUUAUUUCCACAAGAAGAUCAGUAUACUUAAAAAUGAAUAUUUCGUCAUGUAAUUUAUACAAAACAUUUUGACGGUAUAAAAAGAGUCAAAAUUGUGACUAAAAUUGUAAAAUUUGAUCCCAUGUAAAAUGUAAUCAAUUCAAUUUCAAUUUUUGUAUAUACUUUAAACAACUAGAAAUAUACAAUACGGAAAAUUCUGAUUUUCAAAAUAAUGUUAUAAUUGUGUUUGGAUAGCCAAAUAAUGACUAGAAAUUAUUUGCUUACUGUCGCGCCCCAUUUUUUUGAUAAAUAAAUAAAUGGUUUAAAAAAUGUAUUUUUUGAUUCAAUUUGUGAUUAGAAAAUGAAUUGUGAUUUAAAAGAAAAGUGGGUCUAAAUGGGGAUUUGAGAAUGCGACGAUUUGACCCAAAAUUAUAGUUUAAAAAGGGUUUUUUGAAAUAAAAAAUUGGAGUCGCCACUUGGUAAUAAGUUAAGGUGUACCAAAUCACGUAAAAAUGAAUUUUUAAAGAAAAAAUAGGAAAAAGUAGUAAGAAACCCCUUUUAAACGACUCCUAGUCCACGUAAACCAAAGAAAAAAGGUUCGGGAGUCACAUUUGACAAAGGGGAAGGCAAGGAUAAAAUCCAAGGCACCCCUUUGACCUAGCCAAGGCUAGUUGCAUGAUUUAAUCAAAAAUUUUCUUGUUUUAACCAAAGAAUUUAUUACAUUUGGAUGCACUACAUGAAUGCAAACCCUAGACCUAGGGGUAUUGGGGAAAAUUUCUCUUCAAAGGUUGAGUGGUGCCAAUCACAUUAAUUGUGAAGCCCAAUAACGAUCCUUUGAAGAAAUCACGAAUAAUGCGAGUGGGAUGCAAAUGAAUGGAAUGCAUGUAUGCAAUGUGAGGAUAUGAGUUUGAAAAAGUAAUAAAAGACAAUAAAUAUGUAAAUGAAAAUGUGCACGUGAGUGAGCAAGAUACGGUAUGUGAAAUAAUAAUAUGAAGUGCAUGUGUGCAAGUGGUGAUAAAAGUGUUCGUGUGCAAGUGAAGAAACAUAAAGGUGCACGUGUGCAAAAUGGAAGGAAAAAUGAAAGUGUGAUGAGGGUAUAAAAUGGUAGAGUGGAUUAAAAAAUGCAUGAGCCUAGGGAAUUCAUACAUAUUGGGUACGGGGAGACCUAAAUCGUGACUCAAUUUGCCCUUUUAUAGAGGGAAUACAAGCGAGCUAAGGCUUAGAAAAAGCCACACUCGUCUAUAUCCCAUAUUUAAGGGGACUCUCAAGCAAAUGAACCCUAUAACUAGCAUGAAAUGCAAAAAUCCUAAAAUGGAGGGAAAAGGGAUUCGAGGGGCAUGCAAAAUGAUAAAACUAAAAAGAAUGCAUGACAUGUAAUGAACAUGCAAACAUGUACUAACGAGGGGAAAUCCCUAAAGGUCUAGCGUUGGACUAGCCCAUUCUAUGAAUUCCGACUAGCGUUGGACUAGUGGAAACGUACAUUCAUCCAUCACAUUCAUUCAGGCUAAAGAAAGCGAGUAGACAUGCCAAACACUUAUAAACACAUAGCACAUAACAUUUAGCAUGUUCGACUAAAUGCAAGGCCCUAACAAAGCAAAUUAACACGUAGUAACUAAGCAUGCAAGACACAUAAGACAAUUAAAACCCUAACUAUUACAUUUGCUAGCUAGGCACAUGACUUCGAUAGGUCUUCAUUGAAUGCUCCUCCAAGCCGUAUCUAUUACAUUAGGGAGACCCUACUACAAUCUAAAAGGGGGAAAAGGAAUAAAAUAAUUAAAUCCCUAACUAUUACAAGCCAAGAGGUGUACACAUACCCCAUAAAAGAAUAACUUAACAAAAAGCAAGAGUAAAUGAAAUAAAGGAACUAAAGAAAAGCAAGGAAAGCAAUUUAGACAUGCAAUUCUCACUUAGCACGUUGGAUCACAUAGGAGAGACAAAAAAGAUAAAAGAAGUUAUACCUCCCUCGCGAUGGUAAUCAAAUGAAGUAAAAAUGGCUUCAAAACAAUAAAAAGGUCAAGGUACCACUUUAUUUAAGAAAAUUAAAAAAAAUGUGCAAAACAAAGCUCACUUGAUCAUAAAGUCCCUAAAGUCAUGUCUUAAGCGCAAUUGAAGCAAAGCAUGGUAGUUAAUUGAAGCAAACAAGCAAAGAAGUUGCACAAAUUAAAAUUACCAAGGACCAAAUUGAUGAAAUUAUUUAAUUGAUUGGGUCUUAGUGGAACAAGGAGAGACUUGGGGGGCCAAAGUGCAAUUUUAGAAAGUUAUUUUUUGCAUGCAAAUGCAUGUAAAACUACGUAACAUUGCCUGCAACAAGAAUUCUGAUGAAAGCUUCUCGCAAUUCGGCAUUUCACAAAAAAACAGCUUUCAAACUCAAUUAAAUCCAAACAAAAACUACCAUACAUUCCUCUCAUUUUGCAUCAUGAAACUUGUAAAUUUAAACACCAAAAGUCAGCCAAGAUACAUGCAAAAUCUGAACAUUUCAGGCCACCUCAUGCAAAGUUUACAAAAAUAUUUCUUGCAACAAAAAGAAACUUUCGAAAACCAGCCGAGAUUUUGGAACUUCAGCAGUCUUAUGCGGCAAACAACACUUUAACAAGGAGAAAGAUUCAAAUUCCAAGCUCACACUAGACCUCAAGAAUUUACGGCCAAGAUACCAUGUGAGAGAGACAGAGCAAGAGGAAAAAGAAUGAGGUUGCAAGUUCACUCCCAAUUAUAUCCAAGUCAAGAUUUGUUGCUGCAAUUUUUCCAUAAGCUUCAGCUUUACCCGCAACCAUGUUCAUGCCAUUCCCUUAUUCAGUUUAAAAGUAUUCAGGCAAGCAAACCAAAAAGAAAUGGGAUGGAAUCGUUGUCUAAACAAACACCAUAGCUGAAAGGCCGAAAAGGAAGGACAAAAACUCAAGAAGCAAGACCAUAAAAUUUCUGUUCGGCAAUCUGAAGUUAUUUUUUUCAACAAGUAUUUGAACAUGAUUCCAACAUUUCAACAUGCAAACUCAACACCCAACCUUCCCUUGCUUCCUUCAACACAAGAUCAAACAUGAAACUGAAGUGCAAAACCCAACUAGUGACUAACGGAAAGGAAACGUGGCAGAGAAAAGAAAGAAAAAAUGCAGCAGCUUUCCCUUGCUGCAUUUUUUCUUUAAAGUACACGACUCCUAGAUAUUUGGCAAUUUCAGCAAUAUCAUACCAUGAGUUUUCGGACUCAAAAGUACAUCAAAAAUGAUCUGCAUUCAUGCUAAUUACUGACCCAAACAAACCAGAAACAAGUUGCCAAUAUCAAAAACAUUUCUGCAUUUUCUAAUUUGCAACAUUGCCGCGACUUCAAGAAACUUUCGGCCAACCAGAUUCAUGCAUUUUUAGCAAAGUGUUUGAUCAAUAGUUCAAGUAUUGUGAACCCCAAACGUGCAAAUUAGCAUGCCACUCAAGUGUAAGGAUCGAUAAACAACCACGGCAAAGGGAAGAAAACAGCACAGAAAACACGACAGCUUUUUGUCUUGCUGCUAAUUUUGCAGAUUCCAGCUUGUGCAGAUUAAAAGCCGAAACAUUGUAUUAAUCAUUUACCCAUCCCAUUAAACUUCAAAACACUUGAUUAAUACAACACCAAAGGUAGGAAAUAGAAUCAUUGCAUAUCAAACGGACAACAGGGAACAACAGAGAUAUGAAAACAAUUUCGAAUGAGUUCUAGGUUGUGAAUGCAACCAUUUCCAUCUAGGUGUAACUAGUGGCUUCAAACAACCCAACCGUGGAUCAAAGUGGCAAUGUGACCACUCAUCCUCUCCAGCUUUUAGCUACCCAACCCUUGUGUUUCAAUGUGACAAUAGAGGUACAAGACAUGCAAAAAUCUGGAAAAAUGUUCCGCAACCUUCAUGCUUUGGACUUCGGCAAUAAUGCAAGGCAGUAUAAACAUCAUCUAACCCCUACUCUG